UUUUUUUUUUUUUUUUUUUUCUGUAUCUUACAUACGGAAUAGAACACCACAUGACAUUAUACGAAUAGAAAAACAUUUAAAAAAAAUUUCUGCAAUUGUAUGAUAACACGUGAUAUAAUAUCCAACCCAUCUUUCGAACACACUGGAAAAAAUUCUCUUAUCGUAUGUUGAUGGAAAUUGAAGUUUGUCAAGAGAUAGCGACUGCCACGAGCAGAAGUAACAGCCUCGUCGGGCAGAGUCAAAUAUAUAAAACCUGGGCGGUUGGCAUUCGGAGAAUCGCUGCAGACAGUCGUUUCUGGCUAGCUUUUUAUUUAAUUAACGCAUGUUUCUUAUGGUUCCCGCACUUGGGAAAUAAACUUGGGAGUAUCGCUCAAAUCGUUGGACCGGUACUGGGUUAAUUCAUAAGGAUAAUUAAGGUCAAUAUUGUCUCACCACAAUACCUAGUUGGCUAUCUGUCUGUUAUAUAUAUAACAAAUGGGCCAACGGCGUCGAUUUGCAAUAAAGAGACGCAUUAAAGGGUUAGCUUCAUCUUCCCUUAGACUGUUCUACAAACGAGAAAUUUUUUAUUGUGAUCGGAAUACAAGGGAUAUACUACGUGUUUUUAUAUAAUUAAUAGAAAAUUUUACUUUUUAAGUUAUUAACUUUUUAACACACAUAUCCCAAAAUUUGUAUAGUAACACAUAAUGUACCAUCCCAUGUACUGGUCAUACUGAAAAAUCUCUCCUACAAAACCUAUAUAUAUAUAUAUAUAUAUAUAAUUGUUGAACUACCACAAUAAUUUUGAAAGAAUUGGAUACUAUUCCCCAGAAAAUAUCUUACAAGAAAGCAAGUGCAUGCUCAGAUUCAUUGGUUUUUGUUGAUCAUUUUACUCGUAAACAUAAUGGUUUUUUAGUCAAAAGAUUUUUAAGAUUGACAUAACUCCUAUUUGGUUUUUGACAUUGAAAAUUGAGAGAAGUGGUCCUUAAGUUUAUUCAUAGUAAAUUAUUUUGGUCAUUCUAUGAGAAAUCUGUCAAUAUCCUCGUGAAGUAAAAGGGUUAGUUUGACAAAGGGGUGAUGUUGUCCACACAUCCCUCUCAAUUUUCGAUUGUCAGAUCAAAUGAACUGAAGAAGAUUAAAGAACAAAAAUUAAUAAGAGUUAUGUGGGAGUUGAAAAUGCAUGUGUGGAUAGCACACUCUUGGUAAAAGUACUCUUAAAAAGGUAAUAAUGUGGUUGUUCACGUGAUAAUUUAAUGAGAAUAUUAACAUAUUUAUAACGAAAUAACCAAAAUAAUUUACAAUGGACAAAUUCAAUGAUCACUUUUAACAAUUUUCAUUAUCAGAGACCAAAAUGAGAAGUUGUGCCAUUAUCCAAGAUCAUUUUGACUAAAAAACGUAAACUCAAUUAAAAUGAUUAAAACCAUUAAUCACCAUCAGAGGCAUUAGCCACCUUAGACCGAAACAGUUGAAGAUAGUGGUAUUCAGGUUUUACAAUCCUUCGACUUAUCGGCCGUGGUGUCAACCUCAGUCAUGGCAGCCAUUAUUCAACGCCGGAGACCGUAGACAACGAGACACUUGGGUUUUAAGUGUCGAAGUAACAUAAGUGUAUUGAAUUGAGAAUUUGAGAGACUUUAAUAGAUUUUUAUAGAGUUUAAUUGAUUUGUAGAUAUUUCAUAUAAAUUUUGAUUCAAUUCCCUCAAAAUCUCAUGAGGAGACGUGAGAUUUGUGGAUGCUUAAAAUACACUACGAAAUCUCUCUAAUUCCCUCUAAUUCCUCAACUUUCUCAAAUUCUUUAAAAUCAAUUUCUAAUUGAAUACAUCUGGAAUAUUAUAAACUUCUUUAAAAUCUUAAUUGAAUACACAUGGAUUUCUAAGGAUUUUAAUAAAUUAUCUUAAAACUCUAAUUGAAUACCCCUUGAAUUUUAUGGAAUCACCUAAAAUUCUGAUUGAAUACCCUUAUAUUCAUUAAAACAACUAAAAUCUCUAAAAAUCUCAAUUGAAUACACCCCCUAAGUUAAUCGAUCAAUUUAUUAAUUUAAAUUAUCCUUUUAAUUUAGCAUGCCUACUUUGAUUCUUGAAUAGUUUGUCCUAUUUCCUUGAGCACUUCCGUCCUUGACUGUAAUUUGAUGUUAAGAGGGUUGCAUAAUUAUUAUGCUUGAAUAUUAUGUUAUUUAAAUCCUACUAUUUGUCUUGUAUAGGUAGAGUGUCUUACUCUUGAACAAUUAAUUUUUUAAUUUAUUAUUAUUAUUAUUUUUUAAAUGGGGACCAGCUGGCGACUUUACUACAACAGUCAACCCUUACAGGGGCCAAGAAGACGAAUAGAGGCAUUUCAACUUUUCAUGACCAUCAUCCUCUGAUUCAUAGAUCUAAGAAUCGAAUCGAGAACGUGCCGUGUAAAAUAUGGACCUAUAAUUCAUUCUCAACCACUGAGCCAACCAUGGUAUUUUGUUAAUUUAGUUUAGUGUGGCAGAAUUAUCACAAAUGAAUGCAUUAGGCUUAUCUCAUCUACUUGUCCCCUUACACUAACACCUCCACACAUGCCGCUCUAUUUUCAUGCUCGUGUAUUCUAGGGUCAACAAUUAUUAAUAAUGUUCAACAUGUGUUUAGGGAGAGCUGAGCUUCUGGGUUCAUCACGGCUACUUGCUUGCAUCCUUCAUUGUAGUCGCAUAAAAAUCAUAGAGGACUUUGUAUAUACUACUCAAGACAUUGUGGCAACUUUUCAAACGAAUGACACAAACAAUAUUUUAUUAAUUUGAAAUACCGUCAAAAUAAAACUGACGUACACUCUAAUGCUACGGCAUGGUUUGACAUGCUUUAUCGUCUCUGUUGUCUAUAGCAGUCUCAAUAAACGAUUCACUAGCGGUGGAUGCUCCCAAGUGCUAACUGCCAAAUCCCCUUAUCUUGGUGGUCCAAUUAACAGGAAAUUUAUCCAACUCCCCAUAUGGUGGAGGUCCAAUUAAUUUAAUAGGAGAUUUCCAGUGUCCUCGAAACAUAAAUACAAAAUCCAUAUAAUGUUAUGUAAUUAGAGCAAACAUUUAAAAAAACAAGAUUCUUAUUAUUUACUUAAUAAUAUAUAUCGUAUCGUUCCAUAUUUCCGGCACAUUAAAUUUUUGUUCCCGUCCAUGCCCAAUUGCCCAUAUCGAGGAGAUUUAAGGACCACAACACUAAUUUCGUCAAAAAGCAGCCCUCAUUUAUUGUUAUGAAAUAAAAGUAGCUACUAAUACAAAUAAAAGUAGCUACUAAUACAGCUAACAUCCGACCGCUCCUUUCCUUGUAAACAGGAAGUUUCCUGACGAUAUUUUCUCCGACCAAAUAAAAUAUCUUCUUUUGCUCUUAUCACAACAGAAAAAUAUCUCCUUUUGCCUUUCUACAAGAGCACGAAGAUUUUGCAUGUUCAACCCAACUUCUGGUAAAACCCAGAAUAAGUAUGUGAUUCAAAGUGAUGCGACAAAAACAUAUGCAUGAUUGUGUACAACUGAUGAUAUCGUAAAUUACCUCCAAGAUUGUUAGAGAUACGCUACCACAAGAUUCAAUCAAUACAAAUACCAGCGUACAACUGAUGAUAUCGUAAAUUGCCUCCAAGAUUGUUAGAGAUACGCUACCACAAGAUUCAAUCAAUACAAAUACCAGCUUCCACCGGUUGCUACAAUUUUGGAGAACAUAUUCUCCCAGCUGAUUGAUCAAACGUGCUUUACAGCAACGUCACCAUUUGCGUGGAUGCCCCUCCACAUCAAAUAAUAAAUGAAAUGAAAAAGCAAGCCAAUUUGAUCACUCAAAACAACAUUAUUGUGUCUGAAGCGUGACAAGUCAGUUGUUGUCAUUAGCUUACAUUCUAUAGUGUGUGUAUCUAUCUGUCCUUCUGGCCGAGUAAUAUGUUUGUCCUAUUUUCUAUCCCCUUCUGGUCCCAUUAGAUGGAUCUUUGGCCGGACAGCCACAUGGUGCGCGGGAGUUUGCACGGAAUAACUCCUCCUAAGCCAGGUCCUAUAUGAUGUAAUCUAAUUGAGAGAACACAGGGCAAAUGGACCGACUUUUAAAAAUAAAUCGUGAAUUUCAACCCUCCGGUUUUCAGUACAAGCCCUCUAGAACAAUUUUAUUUCAUUUCCCUGCGGGUGAUAGUCAGUCCAAGCUUUGGUUUGGUAUGAUUUAAACCCAAAUCCUAUGCUUCAACAUUUAACACAGAACUCCCUUUACACUUCUUUUUUUCCGUCUUCUGUUGCAACAAUUCAACUAGUAAAACUGAGGCUACAAAGCGGAGCCGGUCUGGAUUAGGUCUAAAAGUUCAUUGUUCAGACGAUUAAAUCAUACUGGACAAUGACAACAAAACCACGCGGAGUAACAGGACUAUAGGAUGUGCAUACACUUAAGAUUAGACAAACGUAACCUAGUCAUGCCAAUGGGAUGAACACCCUGGGUCAACUGCCAGAAAAUGAUUUUGUACAACUUAAAUGGAAGAUACUCGACAACACAGUUUGCACCAAAGCCCGUAUAACCUAUGAAUUUCAACUCCUUUGCCCAUGGUGGCUAACUACAAUCUAGAAAUAAUUGGUGUGUACUGAAUUACUAACCAACUUGGACUACUAAAAAAGAACUACGUUGUUAUCGAGACCAGACAACAUGAAUCUAUGCAAGAAAAAAAAAAUUGCACCUUACAACCAAGAGAACAAAAACUGCAUUCUUUAAGAAAUAUUAUGUAAUGACACAUAAAUAAUGAUGGAAACUAAAAUAUCAUAUAUCAAUCUCUAGGCUACGUUUAGCAAGGGAACGAAGGAACCUGGUGAGUGCCUUUUUAGCACUCGCUCUCACUGCAUCAAUCUUUCCCGUAUUUUCCUCCAAAUCAACCUUCUGUUCCAAUCUAGAAUGCACACUUCGGACAAGUUUCCAUAGUUCCUGUCAAGUGAAGCUAGCAUUAGCAACACAGAGCAACAAACAGAACACUAUGCACCCUUACGAUAACAGAACAAUUGGCAUGAGAGUUAAUCAACUGACUCAAGUGAAUAUAAACUGGCUGGGCUUCUACAUAAUCUGGUGGUUCAAGUGAAUCCAACUCCAUAACCAGCCCUCGCGAAGGACUUUUUAUCAGGAAAUCAACAGUGUCACUUAAUCAGACCAUCCCACUCCAUUAAGGAUGUGGCGGAAAAACAGAAGUACAAGUGACCGAGGCAGCAAGGGAACUGAAAACCUUUUACACUUAGGAAGCAUGUUAUGACUGUUUAAACACAUUAUUUGACAUUAAAGACACUGAUGUUGAGAUGGCAUUCAACUUACCUGACAGUCAAAAUCAACACUCGAAAUUGAAUAUACUUCAUUGGUGAUCUUAAUGUCCUCACUGAUCAGACCAUCAAACCAUCUGGUUGCGUCAUCAACGUGAGAACCCUGCAUUUGAUGCUCAAGUAAUCAGACGAAAUAUGUCCAUAAACAGCUUACCAAAUUUCAGCAAUCUUUCUUGCACAAUUUCAAACAAAGUAAAUGUAACAUACCUCUUCUUCCUCCUCAAAAUCAGUUUCUUCCGCUUCUUCUUCGUUGGCAACAUCAUGAACCCCCAAUGUCUCCGGACCUAAUAAAGCUUGCAGCUUACUUUCGUCGCUCUCCUUUGUAGCCUGAAUCAAAGCAUCCAUCAAGUCGGCCUCCACAUCCCGCAGCAGUUUCCCUUAACACGAAUUGAAAGUACUUUGUAAGAUAAGAUCACAAAUUCACUAGGCAUACACAAAUGUAAGAAAUGAUUGAACUAAACAGAUUCCAGGCAGGGCACAAAGCUGUUGCAUUACAUACCAACAUAAUUGAACUGCCUUCGCUUCCCUUCUCGAACAUCCGGUCCUAGUUUUUGCGGCAUUAACACAAACACCUUAGCUGCAACAGCUGAAAUCAGUAGCUAACACUCGUUUCAAAAGAAAAGAAUAAACUAACCAAGCACCUUCACUAGGAUCACAGCAUCCAACACGUCUUGGUCCAGAGAAGCCACUCUGCAUCCCCAUCAAAUUAAAAUCCAUAAUUCGAAAUAACUAAAUUUACAGGGACUUUUUUCAAAAGUUGAAGUUUUAGGGGGUGAACCUGACAAUGCGUUUGAUUUGAGGGGUGGUGGAGGAGGCGAGGUCCAUAGCCCAACAGACGGCGCGGCGGGCGUGGCGCUUCAAUUCAUUGCGGCUCUUGUACGUGACUGCAUCCGAAUCCGAACCUGAACCCGAACUGGCGGUGUUGGCGUCUUUUGUAAUCGGACUGUCUGAGCCCGCGUAAUAGUUUAUGGACGCCGCGAGUGGCCAGGUGGACGGUGGUCAAAGACGGACGACGGGAGUUGGUUCUGGUGGUGACCGGAAGUAAGGGGGAGAAGAUAAGGUGGUGGAAGGCGGCGUUUGAGCAGCAAUGCUGCUGCCACAUCGGCCAUUGCCUAAGAAGCCGUCCCGCGUGAGCAGCCAUCGCCUCUCUUUCCCUCUCGCUGGUGAUUUGCUAUACCACGUGCAACACAUUUUAUCUUCCUUGUCUUAAAAAAUAAAUAAAUGAGCUAAGGCCCAGGCCCAUUAUUAAAGACUUCAAACGGCCUACAGUUGAACUGGGUCCCCCUCAGACUCAGCACAUGAGUAAAAUGUUUUUUGACAUCAGAAAGCAUUUUGGAUGUUCGAGAUUUGUCGAUAGAUGCUAACAACUUCAUAUGCAUGUUCUCAAAAUUUACGUUGAGUUGAGGAAUGAGGUCAAAAUUUAUCGACAAAUACCCAAACACUUUCGUUGCAGGUAGUCAAAAUCUAUCAACAUACGAUUGAGGCAUGCUACCUAGAUUUCAAUAGGUAAUGCUAGGUUUGCGAAUGUAGUAUAAAAUUUGGUUUUCGUAUCAUUAUCCUUUGUCAAUGGCCUCCCGGCUGCAUUUUGACUAAAUCCGUAGUAGUGGAUUCGAUGGCUUUUCACCAUCUCUAAGAGCCCCAACAACAAGUAGUAGAGCUUGAUUGGACAUUGUUGAGCAAAAAUUGUACACAAUAUGUAAACAAAUAAUUCACUUGACACAAUUUCACCCUCGUUCAUUUUUUCCGAAUAGGGUUUUAUUAAUUUGAGUUCGACCCAUUAUAGACUAUGUGUCUAUUAAUUACAAUCAUUCAUUAAAAGGAAAAACCCUUUGAUUUCAAUAUGAAUAAAUCAUAAUUUGGGGAUUUUGGUGUUUGAUUUUGCGACUGAACCUAGGUCGAACCCUAGAUUGCCUACGUACCCUCGUUGAGGGAUCAAGUCACUCAUAGUUCUUUAUGUAUUUUUUGGGGUUUGAUGCCUUGUGCAGUUUUGGCUCGUGCAGGCAAUGAGCGUUUGAUGCCUUGUGCAAUUUAGGCUCUUGCAGGCGAGAACUUUGAGCCAUUGGAGCAUUACACAGCUUUGUGCCAUUUGAGACUUGUCGUGGCUUCGUGCUAUUUGGGAUUUGAUAGGGCUUCGUGCCAUUUGGGAUUUGAUAUGGCUUUGUGCCAUUUGAAUUUUGACAUGGAUUCAUGCCAUUUGAGAUUUUUCUUCGGCUUUGACACAUUUGGGAUUUGAUUCGGCUUUGUGCCUUUUGAAACUUGACGUGGCUUCGUGCAAUUUGAAUUUGGAGUGACUUUGUGUCAUUUGAAUCUUGACGUGGCUUUGUACCAUUUGGGAUUUGAAUAAUUAAUAGGCAAAUGACCCAUUAAUUAGAAUUUGAGUAUGACAUUGAUUUCGAAUGAAUUUGGCUCAAACGAAUUUGGAAUUUGAGUGAAUGGGUGGGUGACCCAUUGAAGAAUUUUCGUGGUUUUGUACCACUAGAAUUUGGUUUAUUCAAUUAGCCCCAUGAUUUGGAGGCGAGCAGGAGAUAUUUUGAUGUAGUCUAGAAUUAGACUAAAUAUUUAGCAUGGUGUAUUUGGUGGUUUUAGAUAUGCUCCAUUUUUCGCAGAAGAAUUGAAUAUUUUGAUUGCCACGUCACAUUCACUUGAUUUUUUUAAAGGGAACUUGAUGGUGCACUUGUCUUGCUGCACUUCUUUUCUCCAUUUUUUUUUAUGUUUGGUGUCGAUGACAUAGGGUUGUCCAUUUUUUCUUGGGAGUUUUAACAAAAAGCUCACGGUGCUGUUCAUUUUAACGAAAAACCACAUUUUUACACUAAAAAGUCAAACCUGCUACAAUUCACUUUACCCUUUAUUUUGUCUUUAUCAUUAAAACUCAAAGUUUUCAAGCACUUUUUAUUAGUUUUCUUUUUUUUCUUCCUGCUUUUCUCUGUCAUGGGACCUCUGUCAGCUUGUCUCCAUGCAUGUCACUUUGUUGUUUGCCAUCCUUGCACAACAGCACAAGUCCCUGCUUUCAUAUUGUUUAAUGGAAAUACAAAAGCAAGUGGCAGAACUCCUCCUCUUUUAUCAAUGUCUUUAUGCAUUUAUAGAAAGCUUUGCUCUUGCACUUUUGACAUUAAGCUUUUAUACAAACAGUGAUAUAUUUGCUUUGGUUUGGUGAAGCCUUCAACUUACUGUCCCCGAUACUUUGGAGGUGCAGACUUCAGAGUAGCAAAAGCUUAUUUCCUCUCUUCUUUCUUCACUCUUUGUUAGCAAGGAAAUUGCCUUCCUUUCCAUUAUCAAUUUGGACAACAGCUGUUACAUGGCACACUUUGCACGUUAUGAGGGACAGACAGUGGGGACGAGUUACUUUCUUUGUCUUCAUCCGCUGCAGGUUCAUGCUUAUUGUUGUUGCAGUGUUUAAAAUCUUCAAAUUUAGGAAGACGGAGAGUUGGGGCUGCUGCAAUGUUGCCGUUUUCUUGUUGGCUGAGAAGCGAGCUACAUGCUAGAUUCUCUGAUUGGCAAAUGGCUUUGGGAUCGACGCGGGAGGUUAGGCACGAAGCAGGUGGCUGGGCAACGGAGAGUAUGGACUUAGAUUUGAUUGGAACUUCACAGGGUGGUUUAGACCACCUCAAAGAAAUUCAUGGGACUAACGGCAGCGACAAGGAGCUAGGUUGUGGUCAAGGUGGAAGACCGCAGACGGCUUCUUUCUCGAGAUGGAGCAUGGACGAUGAAGAGCAUCAAUCACUCAAAUUUGAUUGGAACUUAACAGGGUGGUUUAGACCACCCAUAAUAAAUUCAUGGACUAACAGUAGCGACAAGGAGUGGAGAGCUUAUGGCCAUAGAGCUUCGUCUCAAGCUCCGUCGGGUGGUCUGGACCACUUAAAAAUUUACGGCAACCACCUCCGUUUUUGCUCGGGGGAAUGAGAGAGGUUAAAAAAGCAAAUUGCUUCUUUUUCUUUCUUUCUGCAAAGUAGAGAGAAACAAAACAAAACACAAAGGAAAGAUUGACCUAAAAAAUGGAUUUAUACAUUUUGAGUCCUUGCUUUUCCUUUUUGUCAUCCACCUCUCCUUUGUACUUUUUUGUUCCCUCACUUAGAGUUCUUCGUCUUCAUUUAUGACUGAGAGAGAUGUAAACUUUAUGUGGUUAUAUAAUUAAAACACAAACAAGGAGUUGGCUGACCUAAUCGUGAAGCAAUGGCCAUUGGAUACCAAGCGGAAUGAUGUAGGAUGCGGUAACACCAAAGUCUUUUACAAAGCACCUAGGCGGAUACAACUACUUUAUGGGAAGCGUUUGUUGUGUAUCUAGGGUUUGCAGGGACCUUAGUAUUUAUAUUGGCUAAGGUAUUAAGGUUCCGUCCAUAAAGGAAUCCCAAAUCCUACUUUUUUAGCCUAUCGGUUAGGUAUCAUAAUCACAUAAAAUCAAGGAUUUCAUCAAUCUUACUUGUAUUACAAGACACCUAAUAUAAGAUUAAUAUCUUUAGGAAAUCAAAUUACAAUAUCUACAUUAGUCUCCAAUAUUACAUUCCUAUUAUAUGUUGUAGACCAUUUAAAGUUGAUUUACAUCAGAAUAAAUCCAACAAGAGAUUCUUGCUCGCUUCUCACUUCCUCCGCACUUUGUCUUCUGCAAACCUUCUUGAGUUUCAGCAGAGUUUAGGUUCUCCUUUCGCUGCUUCUCUCUACUAUCUCUCAGCCGUUUGCCCUCUCUCCCUUUGCUUCGGCUUAAUGCCUUUUAUAGGCAAACUGUGGAAACGGAAGUUGUGGUUAGUGGGUGAGUGCUACCACGUACUCUGCACAUUGGGAUACCCGUAGAAAACCACCCACGUCUCCAAUUGUGAAGUGAUGCUAUUAUCCCUUACAUAUAUAGGAAAUAAACAACCUCCAUAUUGUUUUCACUCCUUAAAAAUAGGCACUUGCAAUCCCCACAUAUCUCCACAUCUACUCCACUUCUUUUAUAUUUUUACUUUGUGAAAAUAUAUGGUUCAACAGACAUAAAGGGGAUUCCGCUUCACUGUUCAUGAAGCAAUAUAUAUAUAUAUAUAUACUUGCAUCUUUGUAUUGAUUGUUUCUUAUCAAGUAUUAAUCAGAUGAUGCUCUUAAUUCUAUUUUUGAGCCAAAAAAUACAAAAGUACUAAAUUUUACACGAUUAUUAUGUGGUCAUAAAAUGGUAAAUACGAGAUCACUAUCAUAUCCCACCCCAAAUAUAAUUGUUAUGAAGCUCGUCACGCAUGAACAUAUAUGUUAUAUACAUAAGCUAAUUUGGACACAUGCCGAAAAUUCUUGAUCCGAACCAGAAAAUAACUAAAAAGGCACACACAUCGACACACGCACACGAGAAUGGAAUGGAAUAUACGGCGCUCCACAGUGAGUUAUAUAUACAUAAUUUAUAUGAUUAAAAUUUUAAUAAAAUAAGAUCAAUAAAAUUAAGGGUUAGAAAUAUUAUUUUAAUUUUUUUGUGGUGUCAAAAGCCCAUGGGAAACGACAUUUUUGCCGACUACAAUCGUUUUAUAGUAGUAUUAGUCAAUUUAAUUAAUAAUAAACAUUAAAAGGUCAAUUAAUUUCUCUUUCAAUUCAACUAAAAAUUUUCAUAAAAAAUGAGAUCGACCGAGAUGACCAACACACUGUGUGUAAAUAUAAAAGAUUUAAAAAAAAUCUCUACUAAUUAAUAAAACACUAAUUGUCAACCAAAAUUCUAUGAAACUACCAGUUUAACAUUCUAAUUAAAACAAAACAUUAAAAGGUCAAUUAAUUUCUCUUUCAAUUCAACUAAAAAUUUUCAUAAAAAAUGAGAUGGACCGAGAUGACCAACACAAUGUGUGUAAAUAUAAAAGAUUUAAAAAAAAUCUCCACUAAUUAAUAAAACACUCAUUGUCAACCAAAAUUUUUUGAAAUUACCAGUUUAACAUUCUAAUUAAAAUAAAACAUGAAUAAGAAAUAUAGAGUAGAAAUAUAAUUUCACACAAUCAAAUUUUUUUUUUCCGAAGGCGGGAGAGAAGAGUAGAGGAAAAUGGAAGAGGAAUACGUGAAAGCUUUUUACUCCUUGCUGCGUUGGUCAAUAAUUCGAUUAGCAACAUCAGAUCCCCAUUUGACCUUCUAGAAUCUCAUCAUUAGCAACAUAAGAUGGCAACAAAACGGAAUAUUGGAAUACUAGAAUAUUAGAUCCCCAUUUGACCUUCUAGAAUCUCAUUAUUGGUUAUGCAUGUAAUAGCAAAAAAUUUUAUGAUUUGAAAAAUCGUGUCAUAAUUGAGUCACUUGAUGUUGCUUUUUAUAAGAAUAAGUUUCCUUUUAAUCUUUGAAAUAGUGAAGGUUCUAAUUAUUCAAGAAUUUAUGAACCUAUUGUAGAACAUAGUGAAUCUGUAUUAGAACAUAUGUGAAACCCCGCCCUAAAUUAAUUGUAAUUUCAUAUUAACAGGAAUUAUGAGAUUACCAUUUUACCUCCCUAUCCAUCACCCUAUCCGGAUCCCACUUCCCUUUUUAGAUUUUAUGUUAUUAUUUUAUAACACUCACACUCUCUCUCUCUCUCUCUCUCUCUCUCUCUCUCUCUCUCUCUCUCUCUCUCCCUCCCUCCUUACCACGUGGCACCACCUCCACCUCCACCUCCUAUCUCCCUCUCUCUUCUUAUCUCCUCUUCCCCGAGUCACUCUCUCUCGCGCACACUCUCUCUCCCUCUCCCCGAACCUACACACACCCACACACCCGAGACAACGACGGUCGACGACACCGCCCUCCACACUGUGUGUAAAUAUAAAAGAUUUUAAAAAAAAUAUGAAAGAGAGAAGCAGAAAUGUGGAAAUUUUUUUAUAAAUUAGGAACUCUAUAUGCUGUGAUGAUAUGUGAAUGAAGGAAGGAACGAAACAUCCAAUUUUUUCUGUGUAAAUUACUUUAAUACCAAUGAUUUAUUUUAUAAUAAUUGCAAUGAAUGAGUGUAAUAUAAUUUUUUUUUUAUAUAAAAGGGACAACUAAUGGCAAUCCAUGAUUAUCUAUUGCUUUCAGAGGCCAGGAAUAAAUAGUAUAAACAAACAAGAAUAUCUUCAAAAAAUGGAAAUAAGUUUCAAGCGUGAAAGACAUAUUUUCUUUUGCCACUGUUGUAUUACCAAAAUAUAAAAAAUUCAGAACUCUUUUUAAGCUCAUUUAAAAUUGUUUUUAAAAUAACUGAAAACGCAUUUUGUUAAAAUGUUUUUUAGCUCAUCUAGUAAACAUGCAAGUGCAUUCUAAAAAGCGAAACUCAAAAACUUUUUUUCAAAAAAAAAAAACCCCUCUAAACAUGCCAAAAAAAAAUUAGAAGUCGUUAUCCUUUAGCUGUUUGGAUAUUUAGGGUCACUAUUAUUCUACUCCACUUCUUUUAUAUUUUUACUUUGUGAAAAUAUAUGGUUCAACAGGUCAUAUAAAGGGGAUUCAGCUUCACUGUUCAUGAAGCGAGAUAUAUAUAUAGUGACUUGCGUCUUUAUAUUGAUUGUUUCGUAUAAUGUAUUUAGGGAGAAAAAUCAACAACCUUCAUAUUGUUUUCACUCCUUAAAAAUAGGCAUUUGCAAUCCCCACAUAUCUCCACAUCUACUUCACUUCUUUUAUAUUUUUAUUUAUUUAUUUUUACUUUGUGAAAAUAUAUGGUUCAACAGACAUGAAGGUACCAUGUAUUUAGGGAUUUAAAAUCAACAGCCUCCAUAUUAUUUUCACUCCUUAAAAAUAGGCACUUGCAAUCCCCACAUAUCUCCACGUCUACUCCACUUCUUUUAUAUUUUUAUUUAUUUAUUUAUUUUUACUUUGUGAAAAUAUAUGGUUCAACAAACAUAAAGGGGAUUCAGCUUCAGUGUUCAUGAAGUGAUGUGUGUGUGUAUAUAUAUAUAUAUACAUACACACUAGCCUCUUCGCGUGCACUAAUGUGCGUGCGAGAGGCAUUUUUGCAUAAAGUAAUGAUUUAAAUGUUAUUUAUGCAAUUGUCAAACAACAUGGGAUUUUGGAUGCAAGUUCCUACCUAAAGUCCAUGAACAAUAGUAAGUAGAUGUAAAUAAAAAAAGAGUAGAUGAAAACAUUAAGUACUCGCCCAAACUACUAUAAAAAAAACAGUAAGUAGACAUGCCAACGGAAGAGCUGACACCUAUACAAAGGUGUUCGUACUAUAAAAAGGUAGUAUUUUGUAUGUUCCUACCUUUUUAGGUAUUUUUUUUAUCACAGGUGCUACGCGCCCCUUGAGAUAUGUUGUGCUAGCUGUUUUUCUCUCAUAUUGUGUCUUAAAAUAAAAUAUAUCAUACAUUGAAAAUAAAAGGAAAUAAAACAUAAUUAACACGAAUGUAAAAUGCAUGAGAAAAAAAAAAGGACUUUGCACGUACGAAAGCACGUUAGAAAAGGCUAGUAAUGAAUAAAGAAAGAAAUACAGCAAGGAACCAAGAUACUUCAUAAGUAUCAUCUUUUCCUUGCCAUUUAUCUUAUUAAAAUUUGCUAAAAAUGAGUUGAUACGUUUGUGGCUUCAUAGUAUAAUAUAUACUAUUUUUUCCUGACAUAUAUGUUACACUUUCCCAUUCCACCUGCAAAUUGCUUUGUCAAUUCAGUAGCGCCACAACACUAAUGCUUGUUUCCAUAACUGCAAACGGAGUUUUUGAAUGAGAAUAUGAGUUGAGGUGUAAAUUGCAUUAUAGUAUGUAGUAAUUAAAAUGUACAUACAUUGACAAAAAAUAAGAAAAAAAAAUAGUCAUAUCCAAAGGAAAAUGGAUCAUUUGUAGCUUUCUUCACAGUUUUUUUUCUUAUGGGAUUUUUCUUGUAUUGUCUUUGCAAGCAUGGAACUAACAACAUUGUAUACGUGUUAUUAUUCUCAAUAGAAUGCAAAUUUCAUUCAACUUGGAGAAAUACUAUUUGAGCAGCCAACCUUAAAUCCUGCUCCACUACACUCAUUUAUGUAUGACCAAAUCACUUGUCAUAGAUAUUGCAUUGCAUUUUAAACAUUUGUACAUAAUAUUUUAAUUGGUAUUGACAAUGAAAUAAAAACAUUAGAGAUGACCACCUCAAUUAUUCUAAAAUCUUGAAUUAACAUAAAGCAAUGAUACAAUUAGAGUACCGAUUGUUAGGCAUUUAGAAGAAAAAUAAUAAAAAUGAAUCAUUCCAAACACCAACAAAACGGAAAAGAGAACCGAAAAAAUGUCCUAAAUCUUCAAGUUCCUCAGCCAAGCAAUCCUUAUGCAGUAUCGCAAGUCAAAAGUUUUUUACGCCUACAUAGAAUUUUGUCCACAAACCAUGUAAUUCAUAUUGCAUUCAAAAAAGGCUUUUUCAUAUAAAAAAAAGUACAUAGCAAAUAAUAUACAAAUUUAUAGCUAGAAAAAUAGUGUGCACAUGACACACCCCGUCCCGAAGGAGGGCAUGCUGGCCGUCACGUGAGAGUGACGUAACCAUUUGCACAGUACGGAAGCUUUAAGAUACAAUUUAUAAGUUGAUACACCCGAAGGUGAGUCCUAAUUUUGUCCAAUCUGUCAGAACCCCGCUGUAUUCCUCGUAGUCACCACACCUUUGUGAUUCCUGAACCUGGAGGGGCGCAAAACCAAAAUUGAGUGGGUCAGUAAAACAAUUCUUUUCCAAAUCCAAACAUUUUUCAAAACGUUGUAACCCCUCUCUGUAAAACCUGUAUAUUUUCCCAGAAAUGUAAAAUAUAAAUAUACAUAUAUAUUCUCAAUACUUUAAUUCAUUAACUCAACAUUUUUUCUUUAUCAAUCAUGCCAUGCCAUGUCUAAUUCAACAGUUAAGUAUGGAUGCAUCAACAAUAAUCAUAUCAGGUGCAAGAAAGUAAUCAACCGGAGGCCCUCUAAUAGCUCUGUACGGUUGAACCUAGAGCUCAAAAUCUAUCACUAUCACUCUACCGGAGUCACCUCUGUGACCCGUCCGGCCUUCUGCACACAAGUUACGCUCUAGUGCUUCUCAUAAAUCAUAUGUGCACAUAAUCUAAGGUCACCCACCAGUCGGAAUCUCACUAACACUCUCGCGACUGGCCUGUCGUACCCACUCCGCGUGGACUGUACGACUAGCAUCUACUUGGAUCCAAGGCGAGCGUGCGAUGCGGUGAAUACUAUAAGCACUAAAACCAUGGUGCAGGAUUUGAGCUCAAUAUAUAUCAUCAUCAUCAUAACAGUAAUUAAAUACUCACCUGUGCGUCCACCGCACCAUUUCAUACAUAUGCAUCAUAAAUCAAUUCUUACCUGUGCGUCCACCGCACCAAUUCAUACAUAUGCAUCAUAAAUCAAUUCUUACCUGUGCGUCCACCGCACCAAUUCAUACAUAUGCAUCAUAUAUUAAUUCAUGCAUGGCAUUUCAACUCACAUUUCUAUAUACUUUUCAUAUACUUUUAUGCAUUUUCAUUUAAAGCAUAAUUUCAUGCAUUUUCAAUUUCUGGGAAACGUCAAGUAUAUAUAUAUAUAUAUACGGAAAACAAAACUGCCCACUCACCUGGAGUUCGUCCAACAACUCCCUAGCACCACACAUCAAGGCGUCACGACAAUCGCCGCCUAGAAUAGUAAUCAAAUCCAACCUCAGAAUUCAUAUCGAUAGAAUACAUAACUUAUAUAAAAUACGUCACUACGUUGAUCGAUCCGGAAGAUCUGCCACUCAGAUUUUAAAUCCAUAACUUCCAGAGGUCCACAUUAUACCUCUAGGACAACAUCCUAAAAUUUCAUUACCAUCCAACGGUCGGAUCAUCAAUUCACAUUUUCACCUAAAUGUGAAAAUUGUAAAACGUUAUUUGAACACCUAACCAACAAUCCUCAAUAACUUUCUCAUACGGUGUUCAAUUUAGGUAUAUGAAUAUACCACAGUGAUCUACUCGACGUCACGGACGUCGACAUAUAUUUUUUAAAAUAAUUUAUUUUUAUUUAUUUUUUAUUUUUACUGUAGCACCUUCUUCUUCCUUGGGUCGCCGGACUGGUUUUUCCGGCGGCCGUUUUCUGGGCAGUUUUUCAAAUUGCCAUAACUUUGUCAUUUCUCAACGAAAUCAAGUGAUUCAAAAACGAAAGUUGUAGCCCUUGAAGAUACAAAGAGAAUGGUACCUUGCACAACACCUAGUUCGCCGUAUUUUGGCCGGAAACUGCCUCGAAAGCCUCGGAGGUCGCCGGAAACUGGGUAUUUUUCAAAUGAGUAUAACUUCUUCAAUACUCAACGAAAUUGAGUGAAACAAAAAGGAAAGUUGUAGUACUUGACGAGACGAAGAGAUUGAUACCUACCUCGACGCCUAACUCGCCGGGGAUUCUCCGGAAAACGCCUCGAAAGCUCCGGCCAAACUUUGAACUUGUCGAUCUCCGUGUUCUUACGUCCAAAAACUUCCAACGAAGCACUCCGAGCUUCCUUGGGACCUCAAUAAGCUUGCUAUGAUCUUAUUUUGGCCUAAAACACAACCACUUCAAAGAUCAUGAACAGUACACAUUCACGGGGUCUUUAGAACUAGGGUUUUUCGAAAUGAAACUUACCUGAAAAUGGUACCUACGUGAUCGUGAAGUCCUCAGGGUUGCAAUGGUAGUCUUAACUUGGACGUUGGUAUAGGUUUUAGGUGGUUUUGGUGGUUGCCCGUGCGUUCGAGAAGAAGAGAGAGAAUGAGAGUUUCUGAGGAAGAGCUGAGGAAUAGAGAGAGUAUGAAGGACAGUAUACGGGAAAUGGGGAGGGUUUUGAGGUGUGGGGAUCCCACAUGUCCAAACCAAUCCCAAUUUCAUAAAAUUCCAUCAUAAAAUUUAAGUCUAAGUCUCCACUCCAAUUACCAAAUUUUUUUGGAGCUUAGAUAUAACGAACGUGAAAAUUAUACCUUAGUCACGUAUUAGGGACAUUUCCGUAAUUUCAUGUCCUCGGAAUUAAAAAUUCCGACACGGGCUGUGACAGCACACUUACAAUGGAGAACGUCUAAAAUUGAACUAAGAGAAAUUAAACUAUCCAAUUAUUAUUGCAAACAGGUUGGCAAUCAGUAUUAAGAAAAAGCUGCUUGACGGAAGACAAUGAUCUUUGUUCUUCAAUCCAACAAUAAAAUGAAUAAAGUUUUAGACAUAGCUUACCAAAGGAAAAAAUGCAAAACAAAGAGUCAUUUACUCGUCAACCUGUCACAAAUUUGUGCACUUUUUAUUGUCUCCAAGUAUAUUUUGGCUCUCCCUCUAAAUCGCUUUCUCUAUCCUCAUGUAGUUUAUAUUUAAUUAAUUCCUAAUCGCAUUUGUUAUAUAUAGUUUAUACAAAUUGGAAUUUAUAAAGACUUACAAAUUACAAUGCCAAGUUGUCGACAUAUAUACUUGAGCAUCUCUGAUCUUCAUACCAAUCGUCUUUGUUUCGGAGUCUUAGUAAUUUGCACACCACCGUCACCUCAGACCUUAUUCGAAGACCGCGUCAAAAAAGAAGGGGCCGCGUUCCAUCGUUAAGGGCCAGGGGAAAACAAUUUUUGGUUACAAAGAAACCAAUCAAACUUCAUAUCAACCGCAUAAAACCCCAUAUAAUAAGCAUAUUGUUAUUCAAUAAAUCCUGAACAAAGUGAAUUAGGAUUAAACAAUUCGUUGUUGAAGAAGCAUCAAAUGAGAUAAGGUGGACCGGUACCUAUAAAUUACAUUAAAAAAGAAGCAUAGAUGAAGAAACACCAAAUUGCAAGGUGGACGAAGAAGCACCAACAAAAAAAGAGGGGUGCGUGAAGUUGAGUGGGCACACACACAGACACACGCACACCAGAGUGGAAUGGAAUAUACGGCGCUCCACAGUCCACAGUGAGUUAUAUAUACAUAAUUCAUAUGAUUAAAAAUUUAAUAAAAUAAGAUCAAUAAAAUUAAGGGUUAGAAAUAUUAUUGUGUGGUGUGGUGGUAACGUGGAUUAGGCAGGCCAAGCCAGCCAAUGAGCCAUCGUGCGUAUGACGGAAGCUGACAUGAGCAUGCAGCAGCCGCAGCAGCACCGCCAAAUGAAGGACGUGUGCUACUUGACUCUUGACUCUUGACAGCGACCUCCCUUGGCUACUUCGAAUUCGAAACCUCCAACAGUCACCACCCACCGCACAUAUAAUCUUAACCUUAUUAUUAUUUGCUUACCCACUUGAUACUUACAGUGAUCAAAUGAGCCACAUUUUACAAAAAAAAGUGAAAUUGUAUAAACAGACACUUGUUACAACUCAAUUUACAAAUUUUAUUCCAAAAAGUCUUUAACACAUACGAUACCUGUUGUACGAGGUUAAUGUAAGAUUGUUAUACGAUAUCGUCGAGAAUUCUAUAAUUUACUUGUAUGUGGGAUGUACCAAUGCAUUAGUUAGAUAGCUAAAUUUACAUUUGACAAUCUCAAUUCACCAAUUGAAACAAGUUCUUCUUAAUUAGUUUUGUGGUAUAUUUUGAUUAUGAUGAGAAAGUAAGUCCAUAGGGAUAUUUGUUUCUAAGGAUCAUGGUAACAUCAAUAAUUAAAAGAAAGAAUAACCAUGGAAUGCCAUGGAUGACGCAAAUGUGUCAUAAUGUCAACAUAAGUUAGUUAGGGUUUAUUACCGAUGAUAGGGUCAUUGCAAACUCUAACAUAAUUAGUUUAGCCAUCAUGUAUACUCACAGUCUGCAAACUAUAAUUAUGAAUACAUCCCUGUGAAAAUAUAGAAACGUUGUUGAUGCACAAAAUCUGAUCGAAAGAAACUGCGAUAAUUAAUAUAUUUUUUCAUGAAAUAUAAAAUGCGGUGAUUGAUAGAGAGAGACUGAGAAAAUCACUUCUCAAAUGUUAAUAUUAAACACAGAGAAAGUGAAUAAUUAAGGACAUCUCAUGGUCAAAAAAGGAAAGUUGAAGGGUCCACGACCUAAAUUGGGUUAUGGACACACAUGGGUCCACGUGUGAAUGGACACGGCCGAAAAUGAAUCAUCGUUUGAGCCGCAUUUGUGCUCCAUUGUGUUGUUUAUCUCCAGCAGCGAGGUUGAGGUGGUUGUCGACGGCGGUGUAGUUGUCUGCUGCGGCUGGGUGUUAUCCUGUGAUGCUUUCUGGCUGUAAAAUUGCACAAUAUUCACAGUCAGUACAAUUACCGUUACAAAAUAAAUACCAUGCAAAAAUAAUGUGACGAGUUUUGGAGUGUGUGUUGAGCUUUAAUUAAUUAAGAAAGGGAAUCGAAUCUCUAGAUUUCGAAAGAGCAUCGGGAUAUGCGUUUUGCUCCGGCAUCAGAGACAGCAUGUAGAAUUCUAUGAGGAAUGAGGAUACUCUUCGGAUCUUCUUUGUGAGGAUCCUGGAGAUUUUUAAGUCGUAUCUGUUUAUCGUAUAUCGUGCGAUUAUAAAUCUGUUAACCCUAAAAACUACAGAGCCUACGUGGCGCGCAGGCCGAGUAAUUAAUGAGCUAACUACGUCCUUCGGUGAAUGCGGGGCGUGCCAACUCGUCGGCCGAGCUCGGCCGAGGAGUAAAUUUGUUGAUGUUGCGUUGGGUCACGCUACUGACUUCUGCGUCUUGCGAUUGCGGCCGAGAAAGGAACACGUCUCGGCCUCUUGGGCUCUCGAACCUGAAGACAAGGUUACUAUUCUUACGAAGUUCAAUAUUAAAUUCGGCUUUCAAUGUGCCGAAUGUAAUAAUUGUAACACCUCACUUCGCUGAGAAAGCUGAUGAGAUGACCUCGACCAAUAAGGAUUUAGAAACCCUUCUCGACCGAGACUUGGAUUGGUAAUCAACCGUUCUCGCCGCAGUGCUGUUGAUGCCAACGGAAGAUACUGCGAGACCGAUUAACUCUACGGUGAUAGAGCUAUCUAUGCCGACUUAAGAUAUCACCAGUUGCUUCCACAGUGCUGUUGAUGCCAACGGAAGAUGUGUCAGCGAAAAAGGAAAAAGAAAAAUCACAAGUUGUGAGAAUUUGCGCAGGACAAUUUUGUAUUGAUUUGCAGGGGUCCCUAAAAUAUUGCACGGCAUCUUGUAUUUAUAGGACUGAAAUACUUGUUCUCCACGGUCAGAUAAUUAAGUAGAGUUCAUCCGCAACUCAAACUAGUGCAGCUGCUCCGUGCCAUAGGUUAAGACCUAUCCCCCUUUUUAGGCUUGGUAUCAUAUCACCACAAAUAAACAAGUUUAUUUCCAUAAAAUAAACAAGUUUAUAUCCAUGCAAUCACUUCACCAAUCCAAUCCAUCAAGUAUAUCUCCCCACACGAGGACCACAUGCAUGCAUGAUGAUUCCUUCAUCAUCUUAAAUUCUGAAAAACAAUUGAUGAAAUUCAUCAUCAUAUCCCAAGAAAAAUAAACCACGUGCUUUAACCUUGUCCAUGAAUUCAAGGUCCAUUUGAACUGCACCACCCACUCCUAUAUCAGAAACAGAACACGUAGGAGACUGCAUACACUUGGAGUCUGAUAUGAUAAGCCAAUUCAAAUGUCUCCGUGCAAUCCUUUGAAGACAGAUCAGAUAUCUUUUUCGAAACAACCAACUGGAUAUAUCAAAAAUUAGGUCUUAACUAUCCUAGUUAAUAUUAAGAGAUAAUAUUAUGAUUAAAAUAAUAUUACUCUUCAAAAAAUCAUUUCAACCACCUUAUCAUCCAACGGUUUAAUAUCUGCUUAUUCAACGGCCUCGAUUGCUCGGGCCGAUGAUGUAAAAUCGGGUCCAAACAAAAUCAUUUUAAUAUUUUUAUUUAAAAUUGAAUAUGAAUAGUAUUUGAUGAAAACUGACCGCAUAAUUUACCAUGAACGAAGAGGGUCUUAUUCUUCUAUAAGUGCACGACUUUACCACUUUAUUUGAAAAGACCGUUUUUACCUUCAUUUGUUUAAUCUAUUUGGUGGCUGACACAAAAUUCUCUGCGACCUUUAUAAUAUUAAUAUUAAAUUUGAGAGGUGGCAGAGUUCAUAUAUCAUCUUAAAAGAACGGGACUUGGAAUGUCUACCCUCCCAUUUUGGUGUUCUUUCCAUACCCUUCUGUUUUGUGUGGUCACGGUUAAGUCACGUCAAUAUUUUAUAUUAUUUUUUUAUAAAAAUAAUAAAACAAAAAAAAAUAAUAAUAUAAAAUGUUAACGUAACUUAAACUUGACCACACAAACAAGAGGGCACGAAAAAGGCACCGAAAUAGGAGGGCAGACAAUCUACGUCAAAAAAUGCCCGUAGCAUUUCUCGAUGAACUAAUUUUAAUAUUUCUAUGAAAUAUGCGUGCGGAGGUGACAAUAUAUUUAGUUAAUCAGUUAAAAUGAUAGGGUCGGCGGGAAAGGCGUCCUUUUUGACCGCCGUCCCUUUUUGAGUGCCCAUCACUGAUAAUGACUAGUGACCCUUGGGAUAUUCCGUUGAGUUACGUAACGUUUCUAUUGACAGGCUUUAUACGAAGCUAAUCGGGAGGACGAAACUACCUUAUGACGGUCGAAAAAGGAGGGAGGGAAGCAGAAUGUAAGGGAUAAUUCCGCAGAUUUACCUGGUGCUACGCGAUGGGCAGAAGAUGAUGGUGUAGUCGCCACCGGCGCAUGUGAAGGUGCUGGUCUUGUCGUCGUAAGCGUAACUGUAUGCGCGCGGGCAUGCGCUCUUGAAAAUCUGAGAGUAUUGAGAGGGCUUGCAAGUGUCGGGAGAACCGUAGGCGCCGCUACAACAGUACUGCUGCUCGCCGAACGCCUCGCACGCGCUCUUGCACGCGACUGCUUCAGCUCCGUCGGCACCGGUGACCUUGAGCUCGGAAGGGCAGCUGGCGUUGAGGUCGGUAACACAGCCGGUGUUCGUACACUUGGUCCCGGUUCCGCCAUUGGGGACCACCAGCAUAGGGAGGUUGUACCCGUCUACGAGGCUGACGUCGAAGAAAUCAAGCCCGCCGGCGCCGUCGAGUGUGAAUUCAGCGACAGUGGCGGGCGGGGCGGCUCCGUUGCCUGAGCAUUCUAAUUUUCCUGAGCCGCAGUCGGCGGUGAGGCAGGAUAAUUUACCGGCGGAGUCGUGGGAGCAGAGAGUUCGGCCCCAGAAGCGGCCGCCCCACGAGGCUGGUGCGGAGAUAGUUUUCGUUUCGCCCUUUUCGAGGGCGAAGCCGGUGGUCGGCAGAGGUGAGACGCCGGCGUUGGUGAGAAUGCCCGGCCACACUGUGUAGUCGCACUUGUUCUCCAUUGUGAAUGUCCUUGAAACAACACCUGCAUGUUAAUAAAACAGAGCAAAAUUCGUACACAAAUUAACAAAAUUGAACCCAGAAUUAUAAUAAAGCUGGAAAUUUAAUAGGGAUUAGAGAUUAUUACCUGAUGUUUGUAGGCCGAGGAUGGUUAACAGAGAAAUUAACAAUGAUGGUAAUCGAGCCAUGGAUUCAAAGCUGGGAUUUGGAGAGAGAGAGACAGAGAGAGAGAACAGAGGAGAGGGUGUGUGCGAUUUUCUGAAAAGGUGGGAGGGAAGAGUAUUUAUAGAAAAGGGAAGAAGAAGAGGUGAAAGCUUUUAACUUUGCGUCUCGCAUUCCAUGUUAAGGAAAGUUUUUCACUUUUUACUUUCUGCCAGUUUUUAUUUUUGUUUCCAAGAAUCAGUUGGAAAAUCAAUUUUAAGUAGGGAUAACGUUGAAAAGGGACCGAACAGUUCUCCUCAAAUUCCAAAUAGUUUUUAUCCAAUUGGGGGUAAUUCUAUUUCACAACAAAAUGAGUUAAAAGUUGAUUUGGAUAAUUUUGAGAGAGAUCCCGUGUUGGAGAAGUUAUGUUUUUAUUUAUAUAAUACUAGCAUUUGACUAUAUACUUUGUGUGUAUGAACACAUUUUUUUAGAAAAUAAGAAAGACGGAAAGAGAACAUGGGAGAGUGGGAGGUUUUUGUUUUUGGUUUUUUUAUUUUUUAUUUUUUAUAUUUUAAAUAUUAGAGAUAACAUCACUGUAGGUAAGGUUUCAAUAAAAACAGUAAAAUUUAGACUUGUGAAAUUACAUAAUUGUCCAUCAUUUUUUGUGUGAUAGAAGACUAAGUUAUCUUUUCACUAUUUUUUUUAUUGACAAUGAGGGUUUCAUUAAUUAAUGUGUGUGCGUAUAUAUAUAUGAUUUGUUUUAUUAGAAAUAUAUAUAUAUAUAUAUAUAUAUAGGAAUUGCUUAAGGGGAGGGAUCCCCAUUUUUUCAAAAAAUGGGGACACGCUUCCCACCGUUGGAUUUGAAUUAAAUGAAAUCAUGUGGUUGAGAUUCUAUGGCCUGUGUUUUAAUCUCAACCACACAAUUUCAUUAAAGUCAAUCUAACGGUGGGGAGCGUGUCCCCAUUUUUUUUGAAAAAAUGGGGAUCCCUCCCCUUAAGCUCCCUGUAUAUAUAUAUAUAUAUAUAUAUAUAUAUAUAUAUAUAUGUAUAACUAUCAUUAGGAGUAAUUUCCAUUCGUAAAUAUAUUGGAGACAGACGUGAGGAAGUUUCUUACUUACAAAUUUGAGAUGCCAUAUAGAGAAGAAGAUCACGUCCACCUCCAUAUAUAAUCUAUCCGUUUUGAUUUUUACGUUCUGGUUUAUUCAGGAUUUCUAGCAUCUAAUUUCUUAAUCCUUCAACAUCUAUUUCUUUACUUUGUAUAUAAAUAUAAGUCCCGAGUAUCAAUGUUAAAUAGAUAUAGAGAAUACUACAAGUUUAUAUGUAAUUUUUGAAAUGAAGUUUUUAUAGCAACAUAUCGAAAGGGUGCAAGUUCGAAGGUUCUUCCAUUAUGCAAGGAAGAAUCUUAUCAGAAGAAGGUUCUGGUUGUUUUAUCAUGGAGAUAACGUGGUGUUUGUGAACUGCUUGCACACUUUGGGCAGAGCCGUGAAAUGUCUUAAAGAGAGCGACUUAGUCCGCGACUCAUCCCAAUAAUCAUUCAUCACUCAAGGCUUCUACAUUUUCCAGGUAAUUUCGUUCAUUUAUAUUUUGGUUUGCAACACCCCAGACAAAGAAUUUCAAUGAAGGAUUAUCCUUCAAAUAUUCAAGAUGAGAUCCGAAGAACAUAUAUAUUGAUAGAGCCUUUUAGAACUAAAUAUCUUGAUUUUCCAUUCAAUUUGCAUUCAAUUAUAUAAAACCUAUGUCAUUCAAAGAAGGGAACUUUAACGAAAAGCUCUCAAUAUUGUUCACUUUAAUGAAAAACCAUAUUUUUACAAUAAAAAGUCAAUUCUAGUAUUAUUCAUUUUAUCUUUUAUUUUGUCCUUAUCGUUAAAACUCAAAGUUUUCAAGUCAUUUUUAUCAGUUUUCCAAUCAGUGCAAACAGUCGUUGCUGGCUAGCUUUUCUUUAAUUAACGCACUUUAAGAUAUCUAAGGUCAUCAUUGUCUCAUCCAAACACUUCUGUCUGACUAAAAGUACAUACCACCUUCUAGAUUUUCCAUCCCAAAUCACGACUACAGCAUAUAUAUAUUUUUUUUUUUGAAACUGGACCACAGCAUCAAUAUCAUCGCGUGCGGCCAUCAUUUCGAGCCGUACAGCAGCUUUAAUGCGAUUUCUGUACACAAUAGUCAACAGCUGACAGCCAGCCCUUAAAGAGUUCUAAUUAAUCGGGGAACUUGGGAAGAUAAUCUUUUCCUUAAAAAUCUCUAAUUUAUCAUUACAAAUGUACUAAAAAAAUGCAAUUCUUAUAAAGAAACUAGCAAAUAGCACACACUCUGUGUGUGUGAACAACCGCUCACCUCUUCCCACAUUAUCCUUAAGCGCAACCGUUAUUCAAACUAUUUAAAAAAUAUCAUGAUUUCACUUACUCGUAUGAAAAAAUGAUGGUAAAACAAUUUCCCUUAAUAAGUGCAUGUUUUACCUUAAUAUUACAUAAUUACUGUUUUGAGAAAGAGAAUAAACAUGCUUUGAAUCGUCCGGAAGCUCCCAAAUAUCUAUUGGUAUGGUCCUAUCUUUACAUUGUUUGUACUUAUCAAGAAGUCUUCGUUUGACGUCACUGCAUAUUAAUUUAAUUGAAACUGGAACAAACCAGAUCCGAUCUGAAAAUUAUACCAAUGGUAUGAAUGUAUACAUAUAAAAAUACAGACAUAUAUAUCAUUUAAAAAUUAAUUGAUGCAUGGCACUGAAAAAAUUAGUGCUUGUUUGAAUUGGGGUCGUCCCUUCGGCUCCAGCUGGGGUAGGCCUUCAGCAAACUCAUCCUCCAUGUUCUAAAUAUCCAUAUUCGCUAUGUUUUAUAAUUGUUCCCACAAACUAUUAUUUAUAAUCACUAGCAGAGAACACAUACUUUGUAUGUGUGAACAAUUUCUCUUAAUAAGUACAUUUUUUUUCUAUACUAUUAUAUUAAGAGAAGCCUCCUUGUCAAAAUUUUCCCCUUUUUUUUCCUAUUUUGUCAUCCUUGUGUAAAUAUUAUGUAUCAAAAGUAAGGGUAAAAUUGGAAAAAUAAGUAUACGAUUGUUAUUUUCUCAAAAAAAAAAAGAAGAGGGUAAAAUAGGGAAAAUAUGGAUAUGAUUGUCAUUUUGUCAAAAUAUACAAAAUUACUAUUUUACCCUCUUUUUUGUCAACAUUAUGUAUCAAAAAGCAAACCUCCUUUUUCAUUUCGGCUGAUUCAACCGAGAUUGAGUUGCCUUUCCUUUGCUCUUUCUUUGCCCCCUGCCUACUUUCGAGGGCAAAAAGGGAAAAAGGGGGCAAAAAGUUGACAAGCCCUCUUCUCUUAAUAGAAUAGAUAGAUAUAGAUUUGCACCAAUAAUAUAGUGUGAGUGAUUAGCUAUCCAUGUGAGUGAGUGAAUUUUAGCCUUAGCCGUUCAUGUGAGUGAGUGUUUUUUAAAGCAUCUCCAAAGGAGAUGUCAAAAUAUUCAAAUCAGCAAUAACGGUAAUAAAAGACAACAUUAAUGUUUUCCAACCGAGAAGCCAAAUCUGAUGUGGCAUGAUAUGGAAUGACAUAUGUUCCCCUUGCUGCCAAAUUUGACAGCACCUUCAGAUUUUUUUAAUUAAUUAUUAAAUGCUUUUUAUUAGUUUAUUAUUGGUUUAAAGCAUUAUCCUUUUGUUUCUUUUCAUUCCCAAUGCAAAGAAAAUGCAUAUGAAUUUUUAUUUUAUGUUUAAAAUUUGGCAUAUCGAUUGGAGAACAAAACUUAAAAAAAUGUCAAAAUACCAUGUAAACUGUCAAAUUUAAAUUUUAGGUUUAAAAUUUGAUAUCUCAUUUGAAGAUGAUUUUAACCGUCUAUAAAUUUAAAAGAUGAGAGUCAAAGAUAAUAGUCCAUGCAUGCCAGCCCUUUGAAAAAAGAAAAAGAACAAGAAGAAUUGCUUUCGCACAAAUUGGACAAUGACAGUUCAACUGAUCUGUUGUUAUCAUACCAAACACAAACCGGCGCUAAAAAAAAAGAAGAUAAAAAAUGGGCACUAAAGCAGUUUAAAGUGUAUAUGCUUUAUAAUAAGGGAGGUUUAACAAAGCGCUUCCCGUAAUAUUUACUUUUAAUGAAAAAUCACAUUUAUACAUUUUUAUGGUGAUAUUCACUGUACCUUUAAAAAUGAUUUUUCAUUAAAAUUUUAAUGAAAAAUCACAUUUAUACAUUUUUAUGGUGCUAUUCACUGUACCUUUAAAAAUGAUUUUUCAUUAAAAUGGAAGUUUUCGUGGACUUUUAGUUAGUUUUCUUUUAUAUUAAUGAAUUAAUUUUUAUUGUUGGAAUAAUAAUUAACUAAGAAAAUGCAAAAGAAGGAAUAUAUCAAGGACAAGGGCAAUGUCACAAGUCUCUCUAAGCGACCUAUCAGUGCAAAAAUGCCUAAAGUAUGUGAUUAUACUAUCAGUUACAUUCCCUAAUGAAAUAUAUAGUAUGUGAUUAUAUUUGAUAAUUGCAUAAAUACGUAACUGAAAGUCUAUGCAAGCCCAUUUAGAUUAAAUCGUGAUAAUCUAGCAGAGUAAAACUAGAUUCAAGAGAUUUUGGUGCUUCUUGAAAUGCAGUCAUGCUCAACCAAGGAUCGUUUCUGGAGAUGAGAUGUCAGGGACAAAUUUAUUGCAAUCGUCGGAUUAAUCAAACGGGUUGAAAUUCUUAUUAACUUAUCAUAAAGUACACCUAAAUAAGAACAAAUCCAUGGCCGUGAUUUUACAAGUCUUAUCUUAAUCGUUAUUUUAGAACCUUGAUUUUACAACUCUUAUCUUAUUCGUUAUUACAUGAGAAUCGAUGAUGCAUUGCUGGUUAUGUAGCUUACCAAGUACCAGGGAAUAAUGAUAAGUAAUAGGGUAGGAAGAAAAUAUACCCAUUAUGGAAGUGGGCAUGCAUUUUGUAUGGGCUGAUUUGGUAUUGCUGUGCUUUGAAAAAAAACUGCUUCUGCUGUACUGUAAGAAUAAGCAGUUGUGAAAUAAAGCAGCAAAGUGUUUGGUAAACUUGUUUGGUAAAUUUUUUUUGUAAAAGUGCUUUUGAAAAAAAAAACAGUAUUAUAGUGUUUGGCAAACUUUUAUGUAAAACAGAUGUGAAAAAAAAACCGGUUUUUCAAAACUGGAUUUCGCAGAUUCUUGUUUUUGGCUUUUUUUUCACCCAAAACUGUGAAAAAAAACUGAAGCUGAAUGUUUACCAAACACAAAAAUAGCUCCCAGUUUUUUUAUACCAGUUUUUUUUCAGAAUCACCUCAGUACCAAACCAGGCCUAAGACUUACCCUUUUGGGAGUAGGAAAUGAGGGAUGUGCUUACUUACAUUGCAUACAUGUUUCAACAACCCUAGCUGAAAUAUAAAAUCAUUCCAAAAGUCACCACUUGCAUUGCCAAUCAUGAUGAUAAAGCGCCUUCUCUUGCCAUCGUGGUUUAUAUUAUAUAUACUAGCAGAUGAGCACACACUCUGUGUGUGUGAACAACCGUUCAUCUUCUUUCAUGUUCUCCUCAAGCGCAAUCGCUUCAGUUCAUUCAAACUAUCCAAAAAACAUCAUGAUUUCACUUACCUAUAUGAAAAAAUAAUAGUGGGAUAAUUUCUCUUAAUAAGUGCAUAUUUUUUAUCUUAUGUAAAUAUUUUGCCCUCCUUAUGUAAAUAUUGUGUAUCAAAAGUGAGGGCAAAAAGUUCAAAAGAUACAAAAUUACUAUUUUGCCCUUCUCAUGUCAACAUUGUGUAUCAAGUGAGGGCAAAAAGAAAAAAUGGGGCAUAAUUUCUCUUAAUAAGUGCAUAUUUUUUAUCUUAUGUAAAUAUUUUGAUACAAAAUUACUAUUUUGCCCUCCUUAUGUAAAUAUUGUGUAUCAAAAGUGAGGGCAAAAAGUUCAAAAGAUACAAAAUUACUAUUUUGCCCUCCUCAUGUCAACAUUGUGUAUCAAAAGUAAGAGCAAAAUAAGAAAAAAGGGAGCAAAAAGUUGACAAGCCCUUUUCUCUUAAUAGAAUAGAUAGAUACUACAGUUCAUGGUCCAUGCUCCAUGGAACACUUUUUUGUGGUAAGUGGUAACCCUAAUGGCAGGCGAGAGACCCUUGGUCCUCCAAUAAAUACACAUUGGUAUUUCACUAACAUGUCAAUGAAUAAUGUCAUGUAACAUAAGAUAUGUGAAUAAAUAAAACACGGACACAUUUUUAAAAACCAACAAUAUAAUUUUGUGAGUUUGAGUGAUCCUAGUAACUGCCUAGCAAUGUAUACAUGAGUUUAAUAUGACUAAAAAAGCGUGUGUCCGUAUUUACACUUAAAUUUGAAUUUGGUUAUGUAUAAUUUAAAUAAAUUAGUUUAGAAUAUCGAUUUAUAAAAACUACGUAACUUUGUCUCACCAAAAUACGUCUUCCUAGUUGUCUAUCUGUUAUAUACAUAACAAAUGGGCGGCGUCGAUUUGCAAGAAAGAGGCGCAUUAAAAGGUUAGCCUCAAUUUCCCUUAAGACUGUUCUACAAAACGAGAAAUUUUUUAUUAUGAUCGAAACACGAGAGGUACAUCAUGUGUUUUUUAUAUAAGUAGUGGAAAUUUUUACUUUUUAAGUUAUUAACUUUUUAACACACAUAUCCCACCAUUUAUAUAUUGACACGUGGUAUACCAUCCCGUAUACUGGUCAUCUUGAAAAAUCUCAUACAAAAGCUACAUAUAUACAUAUAUAUAUAUAUAUAUAUAUAUAUAUAAUUGUUGAACUACCACAAUAAUUUUGAAAGAAGUAGAUACUGUUCCCCAGAAAAUAUCUUACAAGAAAGCAACUGCAUGCUCAGAUUCAUUAGUUUUUGUUGAUCAUUUUUUUCAUAAAAGCAAUGGUUUUUUUUAGUCAAAAUAGUUUCUGAGAUUGACACAACUUCUAUUUGAUUUCUGACAUUGAAAAUCGAGAGAAGUGGUUCUUAAGUUUAUCCAUUGUAAAUUAUUUUGGUCAUUCUAUGAGAAAUCUUUCAAUAUCCUUGUGAAGUGGAUGUAUUAGUUUGACAAAAGGGUGAUAUUGUCCACACACCCCUCUCAAUUUCGGUUGUUAGAUCAAAUGAACUGAAAAAGAUUAAAGGACAAAAAUUAAUAAGGGUUGUGUGGGAGGUAAAAAUGCAUGUGUGGAUAGCACCACUCUUGGCAAAAAUAUCCUUAAAAAUGUAGUAAUGUAGUUGUUCACCUGAUAAUUUAACAAGAAUAUUGACAGAUUUAUAACGAAAUAACCAAUAUGAUUUACAAUGAACAAAUUCAAUGACCACUUUUAACAAUUUUCAUUAUCAGAUAUCAAAGCGAGAAAUUAUAUCAAUAUCCAAGACCAUUUUGACAAAAAAACGUAAACUCAAUUAAAAUGAUUAAGACCAUUAAUCACCAUCUGAGCCAUUAGCCACCUUAGACCGAAACAGUUGAACGUAGUACAAAAGCUGUCAUUGGCUGGUCGUGUUUAGGUUCUUCAAUCCUUCGACUUGUUGCCAUGGUGUCAACCUCAGUCAAGGCAACCAUUAUUCAACGCCGGAGACGGGAGAAAACGAGACACUUCGGGUUUUAAGUGUCGAAUUACAUUAAUCGAUCGAUUUAUCAAUUUAAAUUAUCCUUUUAAUUAAGCAUCCCUACUUUGAUUCCUGAAUAAUUUUGUCAUAUUUCCUUAAGCAUUUCCGCUCGUUGACUCUAAUUUGAUGUUAAAAGGGUUGCAGAAUUAAUAAUGUUUGUUUGGAGAGGGUUGAGUUCCUGCGUUCAUCACGGCAACUUCAAAUACAAAAUGCCUACAUAUCAACACGAAAAAUCCUAGCAACCUUCUUAUUUCUCUUCAUCAUCUUACAUUGAUUUUCAAUAAUCUAAGUUGUCUAUCUUCUAAGUAGUCUUUUAAAGAUCGUCUAGGCAAAAAAUUAACUAAAUCCGAAAUAUCCAUCCACAUAUUAUUCAUUAAAUACAUAAACCACGUUUUUCAAUUCAACACUAAAUUUACUAACGACGUCAAAAGGUUCAAAAGGGAUCAAAAGGGAAGAUUUCAUUGUAGUCACUUAAAAACUAAAACUGGAGAUUGAAUUGUUUAUAAGACUCCAUGCAUUGUGACGAGCUUUCAAACUAAUAACGCAUUGUCAUAUAAAAAAAUUAAAUACACAAACAAUACGUUAUUAAUUUGAAAUACCGUCAAAAUUACGUCCAAUAAGCCUCUCUUCUAUACAACUGGCGUAUACUCAUCAUGGUGGUCCAAUUAACAGGAAAUUUAUCCAACUCCCCAUAUGGUGGUGGUCCAAUUAACAAGAGAUUUUCAGUGUCCUCGAAACAUAAAUACAUAAUCCGUAUGAUGUUACACAAGUAGAGCACACACUUGAAAAAACAAGAUUUUUUCUACUUAUAUAAUAAUAUAUAUCGUAUCGCCUCGUGUUCCCGUUACAAUGAAAAUUUUAUUCCCUCCAUGCCAUUUGCUCAUAUCGAGGAGAUUAAGGACCACAACAGUAAUUUCAUCAAAAAGCAGCCCUCAUGUAUUGUUAUGAAAUAAACGUAGGCUACUAAUACAGCUAACAUCCGAUAGCUCCUUUCCUUGUAAACAGGAAGUUUCCUGACGAUAUUUUCUCCGACCAAAUAAAAUAUCUUCUUUUGCUCUUUUUUUUUUUUUUUGAAUCUAGUGUCUCCGGGUCUUUGACCCGACUACUCACUAAGCCACCCGCCUGACCCCACAACAUUUGGUAGGCAAGAAACUCUAGCAAUUGCUAGGUGGGUACCUUGAGAGGUGUCGAACCCCAGACCUCUUGGUAACAAACCAAGGGCCUGACCAUUAGACUAAACACUCUUAGGUCAUCUUUUGCUCUUAUCACAACAGAAAAUAUCUUCUUUUGCCUUCCUACAAGAGCACGAAGAUUUGCAUGUGCAACCCAAGUUCUGGUAAAACCCUGGCGACAUGAGUAUGUGAUUCAAGUGAUGCAACAAAAAUAUAUGCAUGAUUGUGUACAACUGGUGAUAUCGUAAAUUGUCUCCAAGAUUGUUAGAGAUAUGCUACCACAAGAUUCAAUCAAUACAAAUACCAGCUUCCGUCGGUUGCCAAAACUUCGGAGAACAAUAUUGUGUGUGAAGCGUGACAAACCAAUUAUUGUAUUCUCUAGUGCGUGUAUGUGUCUGUCCUUCUGGCGGAGUAAUAUGUUUUUGUCCUAUUUUCUAUCCCUCUACCCCUCCCCUUCUGGUCGCAUUCAAUGGAUUUUUGGCCGGACAGCCCCGUGGUGCGGGAGUUUGUACGGAAUAACUCCUCCUAAGCCAGGUCCUAUACGAUGUAAUCUAAUUGAGAGAACACAGGGCAAAUGGACCGACUUUUAAAAAUACAUCGUGAAUUUCAACCCUCCGGUUUUCAGUACAAGCCCGCUAGAACGAUUUUAUUUCAUUUCCCUGCGGGUGAUAGUCAGUCCAAGCUUUGGUUUGGUAUGAUUUAAACCCAAAUCCUAUGCUUCAACAUUUAACACACAACUCCCUUUACACUUCUUUUUUUCCGUUUUCUGUUGCAACAAUUCAACUAGUAAAACUGAGGCUAUAAAGCGGAGCCGGUCUGGGUUAGGCCUAAAAGUUCAUUGUUCAGACAAUUAAAUCAUACUGGACAACGACAACAGAACCACGUGGAGUAACAGGACUAUAGGAUGUGCAUACGCUUAGAUUAGACAAACGUAACCUAGUCAUGCCACUGGGCUGAACACACUGGGUCAACUGCUACAAAAUGAUUUUGUACAACUUAAAUGGAAGAUACUGGACAACACAGUUUGCACCAAAGCCCGUAUAACCUAUGAAUUUGAACUCCCUUGCCCAUGGUGGCUAACUACAAUCUAGAAAUACUUGGUGUGUAACGAAUUACUAACCAACUUGGACUACUAAAAAAGAACUAAAUUGUUAUCGAGACCAGACAACGUGAAUCUAUGCAAGAAAAAAAAUUGCACCGUACAACCAAGAGAACAAAAACUGCAUUCUUUAAGAAAUAUUAUGUAAUGACACAUAAAUAAUGAUGGAAACUAAAAUAUCAUAUAUCAGUCUCUAGGCUACGUUUAGCAAGGGAAAGAAGGAACCUGGUGAGUGCCUUUUCAGCACUCACUCUCACUGCAUCAAUCUUUCCCGUAUUUUCCUCCAAAUCAACCUUCUGUUCCAAUCUAGAAUGCACACUUCGGACAAGUUUCCUUAGUUCCUGUCAAGUGAACCUAGCAUUAGCAACACAGAGCAAGAAAUAGAACACUGUGCACCCUUACGAUAACUGAACAAUUGGCAUGAGAGUUAAUCAACUGACUCAGGUGAAUCUAAACUGGCUGGGCUUCUACAUAAUCUGGUGGUUCAAGUGAAUCCAACUCCAUAACCAGCCCUCGCGAAUGACUUUUUAUCGGGAAAUCAACAGUGUCACUUAAUCAGACCAUCCCACUCCAUUAAGGAUGUGGCGGAAAAACAGAAGUACAAGUGACCGAGGCAGCAAUGGAACUGAAAACCUUUUACACUUAGGAAGCACGUUAUGACUGUUUAAACACAUUAUUUGACAUUAAAGACACUGAUGUCUAGAUGGCAUUCAACUUACCUGACGGUCAAAAUCAACAUUCGAAAUUGAAUAAACUUCAUUGGUGAUCUUAAUGUCCUUACUGAUCAGACCAUCAAACCAUCUGGUUGCUUCAUCAAUGUGAGAACCCUGCAUUCGAUGCUCAAGUAAUCAGAUCAAAUAUGUCCAUAAACAACUUACCAAAUUUCAGCAAUCUUUCUUGCACAAUUUCAAACAAAGUAAAUGUAACGUACCUCUUCUUCCUCCUCACAAUCAGUUUCUUCCGCCUCUUCUUUGUCGGCAACAUCAUCAACCUCCAAUGUCUCCGGACCUGAUAAAGCUUGCAGCUUACUUUCGUCGCUAUCUUUCGUAGCCUGAAUCAAAGCAUCCAUCAAGUCGGCCUCCACAUCCCGCAGCAGUUUCCCUUAACACGAAUUGAACAUAUCUUUGUAAGAUAAGAUCACAAAUUCACAAUGCAUACACAAAUGUGUAAGAAAUGAUUAAACUACACAGAUUCCAGGCAGGGCACAAAGUUGUUGCAUCACAUACCAAUAUAAUUGAACUGCCUUCGCUUCCCUUCUCGAACAUCCGGUCCUAAUUUCUGCGGCAUUAACACAAACACCUUAGCUGCAACAGCUGGAAUCAGUAGUUAACACUCGUUUGAACAGAAAAGAAUAAACUAACCAAGCACCUUCACUAGGAUCACAGCAUCCAACACGUCUUGGUCCAGAGAAGCCACUCUGCAUCCCAAUCAAAUUAAAAUCCAUAACUCGAAAUAACUAAAUUUACAGGGACUUUUUUUUCAAAAUUUGAUGUUUUAGGGGGGUGAACCUGACAAUGCGCUUGAUUUGAGGGGUGGAGAAGGACGCGAGGUCCAUAGCCCAACGGACGGCGCGGCGGGCGUGGCGCUUCAACUCGUUACGGCUCUUGUACGUGACUGAAUCCGAAUCCGAACCCGAACCCGAACUGGCUGUGUUGGCGUCUUGGUAAUCGGACGGUCUGAGACCGCGUAAUAGUUUAUGGACGCCGCGAGUGGCCAGGUGGACGGUGGUCAAAGACGGACGACGGGAGUUGGUUCUGGUGGUGACCGGAAGUAAAGGGGAGAAGAUAAGGUGGUGGAAGGCGGCGUUUGAGCAGCAAUGCUGCUGCCACAUCGGCCAUUGCCUCAGUAGCCGUCCCGCUUGAGCAGCCAUCGCGCCUCUUUCCCUCUUGCUGGUGAUUUGCUAUACCACAUGCAACACAUUUUAUCCUCCUUGUCUUAAAAAAUAAAUUAAAAUUGUAAUAAUAGUCUCUUAAUUUUAAUUAAAUUAGAGCAAUAUUUCAUCAACUAAAAGUCCAUUACCAUUGGCUCCUCAAUUCAUCAAAACGUGUAGCUAUGAUCAUUUUCGUCAACUUCGUCAGAAUUUUGUCAAAAUGAGUUAUGUUGGAAUGAUCAUUGCUACAAUUGGGUUAAAAUUGAGGAACAAUUUCUCCAAUUUGAUUAAAGUUGAUGAACUAUUUCUCCAAUUAGAUUAAAGUUGAUGAACGAUUGGUAAUGAAUUUUUAGUUGAAGGAUUAUAGCUGCACGUUUUGAUGAGUUGAUGAACUAUCGUUCCAAUAUAGUUAAAGUUGAGAAAUUAUUGCUAUACUUUACUUAAUAAAUAAAUAAAUGAGCUAAGGCCCAGGCCCAUUAUUAAAGACUUCAAAAGGCCUACGGUUGAAUUGGGUCCCCUUCAAACUCUAUAUGUUAUUUGGGCUGGUCAGUUUCACAUGACCACUUGUUUGGGACUUGUCCUAGUAUGACUAAAAUGUUUUUGGACAUCAAAAAGCAUUUUGGAUGUUCGAGAUUUGUCGAUAGAUGCUAACAACUUCAUAUGUAUGUUCUCAAAAUCUACGUUGAGGAAUGAAAUCAAAAUUUAUCGACAAAUACCCAAACACUUUCGUUGCAGGUGGUCGAAAUCUAUCAACAGACGAUUGAGGCAUGCUACCUAGAUUUUCGACAGGUAAUGCUAGGUUUACGAACGGAGUAUAAAAUUUGGUCUUCCUAGUCAACAAGUUACAAUGCACGCUAUCGAAAUUUCUCGAUGGAUGCUGAGGCAUGAUGGCGAGAUUCAACGACAGUGCUCAAGUGUUAUGUCGAGUAUUGACAACUAUCAAGACGUGUUACCGAGGUUUGUUGAGCAUCAUUUCCCAAGUUACUACUCAUAAAAGAAAAACUACAACAACAACAACAACAACAAAGCCUUUUCCCACUAAGUGGGGUCGGCUAUAUGAAUCCUAGAACGCCAUUGCGCUCGGUUUUGUGUCAUGUCCUCCGUUAGAUCCAAGUACUCUAAGUCUUUUCUUAGAGUCUCUUCCAAAGUUUUCCUAGGUCUUCCUCUACCCCUUUGGCCCUGAACCUCUGUCCCGUAGUCACAUCUUCGAACCGGAGCGUCAGUCGGCCUUCUUUGCACAUGUCCAAAUCAUCGGAGCCGAUUUUCUCUCAUCUUUCCUACAAUUUCGGCUACUCCUACUUUACCUCGGAUAUCCUCAUUCCCAAUCUUAUCAUUUCUCGUGUGCCCACACAUCCCACGAAGCAUCCUCAUCUCCGCUACACCCAUUUUGUGUACGUGUUGAUGCUUUACCGCCCAACAUUCUGUGCCAUACAACAUCGCUGGCCUUAUUGCCGUCCUAUAAAAUUUUCCCUUGAGCUUCAGUGGCCUACGACGGUCACACAACACGCCGGAUGCACUCUUACACUUCAUCCAUCCAGCUCGUAUUCUAUGGUUGAGAUCUCCAUCUAAUUCUCCGUUCUCUUGCAAGAUAGAUCCUAGGUAGCGAAAACGGUCGCUUUUUGUGAUCUUCGCUAGAUUGCUCCGGUCAUUAGUGUGGAUAAGUAUAUAAAUGGAUAGAGAUAGGAAAGCAAACACAAGAUGUACGUGGUUCACCUAGAUUGGCUACGUCCACGGAAUAGAAGAGUUCUCAUUAAUUGUGAAGGGUUUACACACAAGUACAUAGGUUCAAGCUCUCCUUUAGUGAGUAAGUACAAUGACAUUAGAUAUUUAGGUACAAUAUUGUGGGACAUGAUCUAGGAAAUAUGUCGGAUGAAUGAUCUCGUAAUCACGAAACUUCUAAGUAUCGGAGUGUUCUUGUCGUCUUGACUUGCCAUCAUGUGUCUCAUCUAGGUAUCAUGUGGCAUCUUCUCUGGAAGUUCUCUUCCAUCCAGGGGUGGUAUCUUUUAACUGGUGGAGAUGCACAAGGUAAUGUAUCAAUUUCACUUGAAGCUUACUUGUAGUCUCAGGCUUGGUCAAGCGCGAUACAACAAACAUGUAGUAGGAGUCCCCCAAGUCGCCGAGCUAGGGGGUCUGCUGAAAGGGUCAGACAGAGGUGACAGACAAGGUAAGCAAUCAGAGCUCCGACUGAUUGUUCACCUUCUCCCCAUCUUGCAGCAGCAUGAAGGAUAAAGAGAAGAAAAAUGAGAAGAGAUGAUAUGAGAUACUUUUGCUUUUGAAGAAGUAACUUUCCACAGGCUUAUUCUUGAACUGAGCUGGAGGGUUUUCUGGUUUCCUCCAGAGUAUAUAAGGCCGACUGAAGAAUUUGAGGGUCAAAACAAGUCCAUCAAAUCUAGAGUACGUUCCACCCUGCUGAUAUGGGAUACUUUUGCUUUUGACAGAGUAAUGGGUGUAUCGGCACGUGUGCUGUUACGCUUGUCUCCACAUGCUUCCUUGUAUCCUUCGCACUUGCCCUAUCUGUUCCUCAAGCAGAUGCGGAAUCUUCCCUGGAAACAUAAGAUGUUGAAGAUGAGUACUCGAGAGCAAUGCCAGGUAAGUAAUCAGGUAAGGGGUUCCAGGCAGUCAGUUCCUGGCUGGAAGCUUGAUCCAAGUGCUGACUGAUUGCUCUCUUUCUCCUUGUCUUGCAGGUAAAAACAAGGCCAAAGGAAAAAGACAGGGAAAAAGCAUGAUAUGGGAUACUCUUGCUUUUAACCCUGAUGAUAUGAGAUAUUCUUGCUCUAGUAUAGCUUGUUUGCAGAGGUAUUAUCGGGGGGAAAGAAAGCUGAAUAUUUCGAAAGGCUUCGUUGGGAGUGCCCUCUCAGAUAUGAUGAAAGGUUGAGCAUUUUUGCAGGUCUGCCUGUCCGUUGGGGAUGGAGGUCGACAUAUAUAGGAGUCUCCCUAACAACAAGUAGUAAUGCUAUUCCUUUACCCUGCUUGGUCAUAGCACGGUAGUGGGAGCUGCCAGUUUCACAUGUUUUAACUCUGUCAGAGCACUUUGAAAAAGUGGUCUGUGGUAUCUGGCUCUCGAGAUUCGGAGAACGAUGCCUUUUCGAUUUUUGAGAAAGCAAUCAUGCUGGGGUCUGGCUCUCGAGAUUCGUAGAGCAGUGUCUCUUCGAUUUUUGAGGAAGUAAUCAUGUUGGGAGUCUGGCUCUCGAGAUUCGGAGGGCGGUGCCUCUUCGAUUUUGGAGCAAGCAAUCCUGUUGGGAGUGUUGUCUCGAAUGUGAGUAAAGGUUGGGCAUGUUUGCUAGUCUACCUUGCCACGAAGCACAAAGGUUGACACACAGAGACUUUCCAAUUAUCCAGCAAUGGUACUGUUCCUUUACCCUCUCUUCGCUUUUGAGAAAGUAGUCAUGUUGGGAGUCUGGCUCUCGAGAUUCGGAGGACGGUGCCUCUUCGAUUUUGGAGCAAGCAAUCUUGUUGGGAGUGUUUUCUCGAAAGUGAGUAAAGGUUGGGCAUGUUUGCUAGUCUACCUUGCCACGAAGCACAGAGGUUGACACACACAGGGACUUUCCAAUUAUCCAGCAGUGGUACUGUUCCUUUUACCCUUGUGGGUAAUAAUAUGGUAGCUAGACCUUCAAAAUUUAUGUGUCUAAACUUUGUUAGUGCUGUUUCUUUGCUAUUCUUUUACCUUUCUUGGUCAGAGCGAUGUAGUGGGAGCUGCAAGCUUCACGUGCUCAACUUUGGCAGAGAACUUUGGCAAAGUUAUCUGUGGUACCCAUGAGCUAUUGUUGCGUGUGGGAAGUGGGUGAUUGAACAGUAAGAUUCAUGUGCUUUUCUACUUCACCAGAAAGUCUUCGACAGAAUGCCCAUAAUUUCUGCAAAGCUGAGUGUGCGUGUGACAGGUGCUGACAAGGCUAGAAAAGUAGGUGCCUCUUCGAUUUUCUGAGAUCGGCCCUCGUGGUCUCUGAGCAGCCCAGCUUUUGAGAAAGCGAGCGCCUCUUCGAUUCGGAGAACGAUGCCUCAUCGAUUUUUGAGAAAGCAAUCAUGCUGGGGGUCUGGCUCUCGAGGAUUCGGGGAGCAGUGUCUCUUCGAUUUUUGAGAAAGUAAUCACCGUUGGGAGUCUGGCUCUCGAGAUUCGGAGGGCGGUGCCUCUUCGAUUUUGGAGCAAGCAAUCUUGUUGGAAGUGUUUUCUCGAAUGUGAGUAAAGGUUGGGCAUGUUUGCUAGUCUACCUUGCCACGAAGCACAGAGGUUGACACACAGGGACUUUCCAAUUAUCCAGCAAUGGUACUGUUCCUUUACCCUCUCUUCGAUUUUUAAGAAAGUAGUCAUGUUGGGAGUCUGGCUCUCGAGAUUCGGAGGACGGUGCCUCUUCGAUUUUGGAGCAAGCAAUCUUAUUGGGAGUGUUUUUCUCGAAUGUGAGUAAAGGUUGGGCAUGUUUGCUAGUACCUUGCCACGAAGCACAGAGGUUGACACACAGGGACUUUCCAAUUAUCCAGCAAUAGUACUGUUCCUUUACCCUUGUGGGUAAUAAUAUGGUAGCUAGACCUUCAAAAUUUAUGGGUCUAAACUUUUAGUGCUUGUUUCUUUGCUAUUCUUUUACCCUUCUUGGUCAGAGCGAUGUGGGAGCUGCAAGCUUCACGUGCUCAAACUUUGGCAAGAACUUUGGCAAAGUUAUUGUGGUACCAAGCUAUUAUCUGUGAAGUGGGUGAUUGAACAGUAAAGAUUGUUCUCUUCCCCAGAAGUCUUCCGGCAGAAUGGGCUGAUGCGGUGGCUCGAGGGGUUUGGGUGUUCCUACCAGAGUCCUGUCUACCGGAAGAUCUCUCGACAGAAUGCCCAUAAUUUCUGCAAAAGCUGAGUGUGCGUGUGACGGUGCUGACAAGGCUGGAAAAGUAGGUGCCUCUUCGAUUUCUGAGAUCGGCCCUCGUGGUCUCUGGGAGCCCAGCUUUUGAGAAAGCGAGCGCUCUUUCGAUUUUCUGAGAUCGGCCUUCGUGGUCUUUGAGAAGCCAACUUUUGAGAAAGCAAACGCCUCUUCGAUUUCUGAGAUCAACCCUCGUGAUCUCUAAGCAGCCCAGCUUUUGAGAAAGCAAACGCCUUCUUCGAUUUCUGAGCAGGCGCCUCUUCGAUUUCCGAAGCUCCGUCGAGUGCAGAUUUUUAUAGAGGCUGACAUUAAGUUCCAAAGCACACUUGAAUCUCCACCAGUAGAAGCUUCAUUCUUGCACUUCUAAGAUCUUGAUUUGUCCGACCUCUUCUCUUCUUCAACCUUUGAAAAUGUCUGGCCCUCCGACCGUCGUUUUGACUUGAACCUUGUUGAAGAGGCAGCCCCGCCUUCUCCAGACACAUAUGGCGCCCAUCCUUCGUCUCCCCUACUGGUCCUCUUACCGUUGGGGAUUCCGUGAUGAAGAAGAUAUGACCGCUGCGGUGGUGGCCAGGAACCUUCUCACUCCCAAAGAUAACAGACUACUUUUCCAAACGGUCUGAUGAGUUAGCUGUUAAGGAUUCGUUGGCUCUCAGUGUUCAGUGUGCAGGUUCUGUGUCUAAUAUGGCCCAACGCCUAUUUGCUCGAACCCGCCAAGUUGAAUCCUUGGCGGCUGAAGUGAUGAGUCUCAAACAGGAGAUUAGAGGGCUCAAGCAUGAGAAUAAACAGUUGCACCGGCUCGCACAUGACUAUGCUACAAACAUGAAGAGGAAGCUUGACCAGAUGAAGGAGGAAACUGAUGGUCAGUUUUACUUGAUCAUCAUCAGAGAUUUGUGGGUUUGUUCCAAAGGCAUUUAUUGCCUUCGUUCUUCUGGGGCUGUACCGCGUAAUGAAGCUCCGAAUGAUCAACCUCUGAUGCCUCCUCCUUCUAGGGUUCUGUCCAGUACUGAGGCUCCAAAUGAUCCCCCUCCGGUGCCUUCUCUUUCUGGGGCUCUACCGACUGCUGAGACUUCUCCUAAGCAACCUUUGUGAAGGCUCCGUCUUGUGUGUUUAUUUUGACUCAUGUAUAUGUACAUAUUUGUAGCUGAUCGGGGAUAUCAAUAAAUAAGCUUUCCUUCAUUUCAACGUAUUGUGUUAAAUACACCAAAGCCUUCUUCGCUAAGUUCUUUGAAUUUUCUUUUGUUGAAGCUUGUAUGUUGAAGCUUUCUGAGUGGAGCAUGUAGGGUUGGGGUAGUGUUCCCUUAAUUUCCUGAGUGAGGAAAACUUCUCUCGAUUGGAGACUUGGAAAAUCCAAGUCACUGAGUGGGAUCGGCUAUAUGAAUCUUAGAACGCCAUUGUGCUCGAUCCUGUGUCAUGUCCUCCGUUAGAUCCAAGUACUCUAAGUCUUUUCUUAGAGUCUCUUCCAAAGUUUUCCUAGGUCUUCCUCUACCCCUUCGGCCCUGAACCUCUGUCCCAUAGUCGCAUCUUCUAAUCGGAGCGUCAGUAGGCCUUCUUUGCACAUGUCCAAACCACCGUAAACCGAUUUUCUCUCAUCUUUCCUUCAAUUUCGGCUACUCCUACUUUACCCCGGAUAUCCUCAUUCCUAAUCUUAUCCUUUCUCGUGUGCCCACACAUCCAACGAAGCAUCCUCAUCUCCGCUACACCCAUUUUUGUGUACGUGUUGAUGUUUCAACACCGCCCAACAUUCUGUGCCAUACAGCAUCGCCGGCCUUAUUGCCGUCCUAUAUAAAAUUUUCCCUUGAGCUUCAAUGGCAUACGGCGGUCACACAACACACCGGAUGCACUCUUCCACUUCAUCCAUCCAGCUUGUAUUCUAUGGUUGAGAUCUCCAUCUAAUUCUCCGUUCUUUUUGCAAGAUAGAUCCUAGGUAACGAAAACGGUCGCUUUUUGGUAUUUCUUGAUCUCCGAUCCUCACCCCUAACUCGUUUUGGCCUCCAUUUGCACUGAACUUGCACUCCAUAUAUUCUGUCUUUGAUCGGCUUAGGCGAAGACCUUUAGAUUCCAACACUUCUUCCAAAGGUUAAGCUUUGCAUUUACCCCUUCCUGAGUUUCAUCUAUCAACACUAUAUCGUCUGCGAAAAGCAUACACCAAGGAAUAUCAUCUUGAAUAUGUCCUGUUAACUCAUCCAUUACCAACGCAAAAAGGUAAGGACUUAAGGAUGAGCCUUGAUGUAAUCCUACAGUUAUGGGGAAGCUUUCGGUUUGUCCUUCAUGAGUUCUUACGGCAGUCUUUGCUCCUUCAUACAUAUCCUUUAUAGCUUGGAUAUAUGCUACUCGUACUCCUUUCUUCUCUAAAAUCCUCCAAAGAAUGUCUCUUGGGACCCUAUCAUACGCUUUUUCCAAAUCUAUAAAGACCAUUUGAAAAUAAUUUAAAAACUUUGAAUUUUAAUUAAAAUGACAAAAAAAAAUUGUAAGUGCAUAGUUCCAGUUCCAGAAGUGAAUCUUUAAAGUAAAAAUAUCGUUUUCGCUAAAGAUGAACAAUACCGAAAGAGUUUCGUUAAAACGACAAAAAAUUAUCAUCGAGUACAAUAUACAUCUUCAAAAUAGAUCUUACAUUUCGUUAUAAGCUGACAUGAAAUUGGGGGAUAUAAUUUCCCCCAACGGUUCAGGCUGUAAAAAUGGCGCCUGCAGCUUACAAUAUGUACACGCGAACACACUAGCUAGCUAGCACUUCGUCCAAUCCGAACGACAGGCCAGUAGCAGGCUUUCCUAAUUACACUAAUUAACCAUGUAAUUAGCUUAAUGUUUGUUUAAUUACAGAUGAUCGGAAUAUGUUCAGAGUGAAAUGUCUGUAAAUCUACCAGCACUGGUCGGUUUCCCAUCUCCGGCCAAUCGACGACGACAUUGUUGUCGCGUAAGCGUAAGACGAAGCCACGCCCGUCCUCGGCCGUCCGAUCAUCAUCUUGCGGUCGUAAUCGGCGCGUUUUUGCUCGUCGGUGAGAGUGGAGUAAGCUUCGUGGACUUUCAUGAACUCGUCCGCCGAUGAUUUCGCAACGUCCGGGUGCAAAACCCUCGCUAACUUUCCGGUACGCCGACUUGAUCUCCUGGCACGUGGCGCCGGCGUGAAUCCCGAGCACGUCGUAGAGUGAGGAGCUCGAUCCAAUGCGGGAUCGCGGCCUUUCAACGGUCGAUGCGCACGAGGCGGAGACGCGGAGGGGGCGGUAGCUGACGGAGGAGGGAGGAGCGCGGGGGCCGUUAUUGGCGACGGAGAAAAGAGGAGAGGAGUGGCAAGUGAAGGAUGAGGAGGAUAGGGAAGCCAUUUUUGUGAUUGUUGUUGCUUGCUUUGAAAUUUGAUUGGUAGGAGUCGGAUCUGUGGCCGAAGGAGUGGGAGUUUGGGGAUUUAUAGGCAGUUGGGGAUAAGAAGCGUAUCACGGUUAACCGUGGUUAAAAUUCCCAUCAUGGUUAACCGUGGUUAAAAGUUGGGGGUUGGGUUAACGAAAACCGAGGCUUAUCCAUUUGGGAAACCGUCUGACUCAGCGGGGCGUCGGUGUCCAUUCCAAUGUCCAAAAAUCUGACACGGCACAUGGUAUGGGCAUUACCGUUGGAUAUACAGUUUAACUGUGUUGGUUUGGGUUUUGGGUUUCACUUGGUUUCUGACUAGAUUUUGUAUGUGUGAGGUUGACAAAUGGCAACAAUGCGUUGGACCUACAGGGACUUUGAUAGGUUAACCAAUAAUGGAGUGACACCUUUUCCAUCUUUAAUUUUUGCGAAAAUUCUAGAAUUUGCAUAUCUCAUGGUCUGGAGAAAUUUUUUCAUGGAACGAAUCAUAGCGUGGUACGUCAUAUUUCAUUAUAUAAGUAGAGAAAAGUUUUAAUUUUCAAGUAUCCCUUUCGAGCAACACUACAAAUCUUUCCAUAAAUUAAGGGUGCAACUCGGGUGGGUUGGAAGGUCAACUCAAUCCUAACCUAAUUUUUACAAUUCAAGGUUUCAUUCGGGUUUAUUUGGACUAGGUUUUAAUUGGAUUCGGGUUUACUUGGGUUGGGUUCGGGUUGCCUAACUAUUUUGAGUAUAAUCUUGUAACAACUUAAUUUCCAAGAAUUUCUAAAAAAAAUUAAGCCAAGUAGCAUCAAAGCUAGUUAACUUUAAUUUUAUAAAUAAAUCAAAGUUGAUGAGCAAUUACUUCGAGACACAAAGAAUUUAGGUUUUGGAGACUAAUGAUUAUAAAGCUUUAGGAUUUCUAGACUAUGAAUAUGGGUUGACUAAUCAAAGCCUCAUAUUCCCUAAAAACUUAAGUAAUUAUAAAGGGUAAUUUAUUAAAAAUAAAAAGGCCGUUGAUUUGUGGACUUAGCCCACUUAGAUGUAGUAUGAGCAUUAAUUGAUAUGAGUUACAAUCUCGUUAGAUUGAGUUUGGUUAAUCAGGGUGGGGAUGGACAUGCAAAAGAUCAACCCAACCCAACUCAAUCAAUGAACGGGUUGAAAUUAGGUUGGGUUCGGGCGGGUUAUAACUAAAAAAACAUGCUUGUUCAGGUUUAAAGUCGGGUUGGAUAUGGGCGAGUUCGGAUUGGCCCAACCCAAGUUGCACCCUUACCAUAAAUUAUGCACGUGGUGUAUCACCUUGUAUUGCAAUAACAUUAAAAAAUCUCUCCAUAGCAUGGGUCAUACAAAUUAAUAGUGAGAUGUGUGCUCAAAGAUUCAAUAACCAAGAAUUUAACAAAUAAAAUUGUUAGCGGAUAUUAUAUUAUGCUCUAUAUUAGGUAAACUCGUUAUUUUGUUACAUAUAGUUCUUGCAACACAAUCGGUGUUCAUAUUAACGUCAAUCUUUUAUUUAAGGGCGUGUUUGUUUAUAAAGAGGGAAAGUGUAGCCCACCACUUUGCUCGCUUCGCUCAAAGUGAUGCGCCUUGUGUUUGGAAUGUCGAUCCACCUUUGUUCUUAGAUGAUUUGUUGGUUGAGGAAUAUGUAUGUUAAGUUUUUUUGCCUUGUUGACUUUUGUAUCUAAUUAUCUCUCUCAAUGAAGUUCUAUCACAUCUUUAAAAAAAAAAUUUAAAAAAAAAAAAAAAAAACACUCUAGAAGAAUCAAAAUAUGCAUCUAGAAGACUCGAAAUAUGCAUUGUUCUUCCUUCUUAUACUAAAAGUCCGCCUAGUGAAAAAAAUAAAAUUUGCUUUCUACAAGAGUUAUUUGAUAGUUUUGAUUUAUACAAAACGAUUGGAUUUUAGGCAUACAGAAAGUCAAAGGAAGAAAACCGCUGUCACACAAGAAUGGGGAUGUUAGGCCAUCUCUAAUCGAAGACUGACCAGAUGGUUCAUUUUAGCCAUUUGGUUUUCCAAGAAAUUAAUAUUUUAAUGAACAGUGCAGUGUCAUAUUUCUUACCAUCUCUAACUGAUGGCCAUAUGGCUCGUUUUAGCCAUGUAACAAAAAACCGUCUCCAACCGAGGGCCAAAGGGCUAUAAGGUCAAACAUAGGUUGGCCCUUUGGCCAUUUUUUGUCCAAUGGGGCCCACGAGCCCUUUGGCCUGGCCUUCGGUUGGAGACGAUUUUCGGACUAUUUUCGGCCCUUUGGAACCUUCGAUUGGAGAUGACCUUACUAGUUUAAAGUCUAUUGGUAGCAAAAGAAUUAUGUAGACAGAACUACAUAAUUUAUCCAUCGCAAUGUUUUUAUUUAAUUAAAGAGUUAAGUGGUUUUAUACAUAAAAUCUUUAGUUGUUUUCGUUAUCUACCAACUGAUAAUGUUAGUGAGAAACAAUUAAGGAAUAUAAAUUAUAUAAAUAUAACUUUAGUCCAACAAAUAGAUUCUUAUGGGUACAAUAACAGUUGGAUCUAUUAUUAUUUUAAUAAAAUAACGUAAUCCAAAUAUAAAAUAAGUAAACAAAAGCAAAAAAGUCAAUUAAUUGUGAAGCUAAAUAGAGAAUAAACGUGAAUAUCUAGUUUUUAAUCAAAACUACAUAUUAAUAUAACUAACUUUGUCAAUAAAAAAAUAAUAAAAUUACAACUAUAACCUUUAGGGUGCGUUUGUUGCAUCGGACUGUCUCGAACUGGACUAGCUACAUGGACUAAACUGGAUUGGCUUAGACUAGACUAAACUGGACUAGUUUAGUAAAUCAUUUGGUGCAAUGUCGGGACUAAGGAAUAGACUAAUAACAAAUUCUAAUAUUAUAUUAUUUAAUUCAUAUUUAUUAAUAUUUACAUUAUUUAAUAAAUAUUUAGUAAUAUUUUAUUAUUAAAUCUGCCUAUUUUCUGAUUCUAUAAGCCUUCUUCCAUUCCCAAUUCCGUUCAUCCCCUCUUUCUUCCUUUUUCUCCGCCCUUCUCCCUCUGUUUUCUUCCUAAUUUUUCUUCGUCCAUCUCCCUUUUUUUCUUCGUCCCUCUUCCUCUUCAUCUCCCUUUUUUCUUCAUUUUGUUCUCUAUUCAUCUCCAUCUUUUGAUGAAAGAAAUUAACAUCAAAAUUAAACCCAGAAGCUAUUCAUCUCCCAACUUCAUAAUCGACUGCAAAUCUUCACAGUCAAACCACAAAGCAAGAAAGAGAUUGAAAAUUUAGGAGUUGGGAGCGGGUUGCAUGUGUGAUUGGCUUGAAAGUGGGAGAUGGCGAAGCUCUGCAAUCAAGGAGUUUCAUGUUUUCUGGGUUCGGUUUGCCUUCAAUCAAUCCCAUCGUUGAUUUAAGCUUAUAACCACUGCAGAUUUUUUAUUUUUUUUUGUGUUUUAUGGUUUCUGGGUUCGGUUUUCUAGGUUCUAUUUUGCAGGUUGGAUCUGAAUUUGAAAAAUGGAAUGAUUGCAUUUUUUUUUUGUUUUGAAUUUUGCGGGAUAUGGGUUUGAAAAUGGUUGUGGAAGCGAGGAAGAAGAUGGAGCAGGGCAAGGAGGGAGCGAUGUGCGACAAGCAAGACGAGCGACGUUGGGUCUUGGACGACUGACUCUCUCGCGAUUUUCUCUCUAUCAAAAGAGGGCUUACGAAUCCAGCCGAAAUUGGGGAUCCUCGUUAAGAACUCGUAGCGAGGUGGUUAAUCCGAGCGAGUCCGACCUAAGCUCAUUAAACCUAAUCUUGGUGUAGACCAAACAAGGGACUACAGUCUAGUCUAGUCCAGUCCUCCCUAAUCCAGUCCAGUCCUCAUUAAACAUAAUUGAAAAAAAAAUGUGAGAAAAGAAAAAAAAUGGGGGCAUUAAAGUAAUUUCAAACAAACAACAUUUGCCUUUUCUUUAAACCUCACAACAAUGUCACCUUAUCAUUAUCCUCCAAACACACUCUUUCUCCAUAAUUACCAACACUUUUUACAUUUUUUUUUAAUCUAAUGCCUGCAUAACUCUUGCCGAAUUUUUUCUUUUAAAACAAUAUUUGAGAAUAUUUUUUUUUAUUUCACACACAUAGACUGUGUGGCGUUUGCUAGUAUUAAUUAUGGAAAGGCAUCUUAUUUGGAUCUCUUCCUCCUAAUCCACCAAAUUAGAGGAUCUAUGCCAUUGACAUUUGAUCAACGGUUGAAGUUAUUAUAACUUUUAAAGUGUGCCUCUAUUUAUAGUUAUUGAAUCAAAUUUCAACGACACGAAUUUUUUGAUUUAAUGGAUUAGAAAGAAAUGACCCUAAGUUCCUUUCCAUUAAUUAUUGACGCGGUUUGUUGAGAGGCAACCGCCGGAUAGGGAAGCACAUCUGGGAUGGCCCACCGCAGCGGAAACACAAAAGCGGUGUAAACGACGGGCGGCCGACUUGGCACGUGGGUUACCGCCGUGCGGAAGGAACGGUGGUAUUAGAGUAGUAAGGCCACCAAUGCCAACGGGCCACGUUGGAUUUAGGAACUCUGUGAUCCCAUCAGCGAAUGUGACGGAUAUUAUUAAGGUUCAUCCAUAGGAGACAAGAGUUCCAAUAAGGAUAAGACCAAGUUCGUGUUUCAAGGUUCGUAGGAUAAGACGAAAAUGACACAUCAGAAAAUGCUGAAUGUGACUGCUUAUAAACUUAUGCCCAGCUGGCUGUUUGGAUGCAGACGUAAUUUUAUGUUUAAAGCCCUGUAUUCGAUUUCUGAUACUGGUAAAUUAUAUAAUAAUGAUUAGGAAGAGACUAAGGGUCUAUUUGGUAUCAUAUUUGAAAAUUUUUAUCAUUUCUCAAAACAUUUUUAAAGAACGUUUCUUGAAAAUAAUUUUCUUUAAGAUUCAAAAAAUUGAUUGACUUGCGAUUUAAACUAAACAAAAAAAUCUAAAAAGAGGGGGUCGCAUGAUAGGGAGAAAGAUGAGAGAUGAGGAAAUAAAGUAAAAGAUGAUUGAAGAAAAGAAAUGAGUAAGUUUAAGCUUAAAAAACCUAAAAACUCACUUUUUAUGUUUUUAGAUAAUAGAUUAUAUUUUUGAGUUAGUCUUGAGUUCAGUUUUUUAAAAUAGUCCUACCAAACAAAUUUUUUAAGACCUAAAACUUAACAAUUGUUUUUUAGUUAAAAAAGUUGGAUUCAAGUAGAGUACCAAACAAGCCAUAAAAUGCUUCUGUGAGUUCUUUUAACUGCCAAAAAAGUAGACAGCCGUGACAAAACCACCGACUGGUUUCUUAAGUAUAAUUUUGUGCAGUUCAUUGUAUAGUAUAAUGUUCUGGUACUGUCGCAUAAUAUGGUAAAGAUUCAACGUAUAUAAACCAGGUACCCAUCAAAAGCAACGUAAAUAAGAAUGCUUGCAUGUUCGUGGAAGGGACAGUGUCGAGCUAGCCGAGAAAGGGUGGCAGUGACUCAGACGGAAGCCACGCCCACGUGAGGAGAUCCAACAUGUAUCUCGGUUUACUAAAUUACAACACAACAAUUUAAACCAGGUUGCUCUCCGAAUUUUGUUCCCUUUGAGUACGUGUGCAGUUCUGCAGUCCUGCUUUUUUUAAUCUUAAUUUGUUGUCUCUUUAGCGUUAAGCAGGGAAGAGCAGAGAUCUAAGUGCGGACGAUGCGCCCCGUAUUCGCGGCGCAAAUGAAAUUUGGGCGGUGCAGCGUUGCAUGUUAGAAAUUUAAUUGAAGAAUCAAAUGAUGAGUAGAAUGAUGGGUGGCAGCGAUUCAGCGAAGUGAAGCACUCAAGGCUCAUGUGGAGUACUUGCUUCAUUUCAAUUGACUUCAUGUCCCAAUAUAAAUUGAUUUGAAAAUGCUCGAUGGAUUGAAGAAUCAAAUGAUGAGUAUGAGUUUCUAUUCAAAAUUGUUUGUUGACGAUUAAUAGAUCUUCGUGUUUAUUGAUCAGAACAGUUUAUCUUAUAAAUCACUCUAUAAAUAUCUUUUCUGCAAAUAAUCGAUUAAAACAAAGGUUGUUUAAUCAUCGAACUAUAUAAAACAGAUGAAUGAAAUUGAUAAAAGCAUUACGAACUUGUGGAUGCAAAUUUCUUUCUUCUUGUUCUUGGACAAAAUUGCACCUACAAAACAAACAAUACCUUAGGUCAAGACCAAGAGUCUCACGUGCCCACUAUGAAGAUGUCAAAGUUAGAAUUUUGAGGGAAAAGUGUUUGGAGAAUUUAGAGAAUUUAGUAAGAGUAUAGAACUUAGGUUUUUAGAGAAAAUUGGAUAAUAUAUAUAAGGCAUGGUUGACCCCCUUUGGAGAGAUGGUGACCGGCCCUUUGUUUGGGUGUAAUUUGUAGUUAAUUAGCAAAUUAAUAGAUUAAUUAGCUAAUUAAUAUAAUUUGAAAUGAAUGUUUUGGAGGUUACGGAGAAGAUUUGAUGAUCAUGGAUGAAAUAUGUUUUGAAUAAAUACCUAUUUUGAGCACUUUUGACUUGAUUAAGGAAUGAUUGUCCACUACUCGCACGUAGGUUCCGGUGUAUCUUGAGGGUAAUUUUGUCCUUUUAACCCUAUAAUCCACAUGUUGCCUCCAUAUUUUUCUUGAUUAUUUUUUGCUCCACAUAAUUGUCUAUGUAUUUGCUCAAUUGUCUCUAAAUGACCUUAGUAUUAAUAUAUUUUUUUGCAUAGGUGAUAUUUAAGGAGUGAUUCAUAAUAUGAUUAGUUUUGAUCAUAAAUACAAAGCUCUGUAAUUUGAAUACAAAGAAUUUUCUGUAGGAAUCCUACUUAUACUUGAGUAGCCAACAUAUGAUAAUUGGCUACUUGUAAUUUGUAAACAUCAUAUUUGUGAUUCCAACUUAAGAGGAUUUGUGUUUGGGCCCAUAUCAUGAACACUUAAACAGGUCGAAACAAAACUUUGUAAUUAAUCAAUAAAGUUUGGACCAUCUUGAAGCAUGUCUCACAUUGAAAAUUAACCUUAUGAAAUCAAACAUCCGACAAGUGACUUGAGUCAUGACGGAUUUUUACUGUCGAGAUGGGAUUGGAUCCUAUUCGAAGCACUUCACUAUGAAUAAACGUCUUCAUGUGGUGCCACGUUAGCAUGUCUCACAUCGGAAGACUCUUGAAGUUAAAUCUCCUUACAUUGAAACCAAUUCUACUUGCAUCAAAGUCUUUGUAUAAAACCUCACACCAUGCACAAGUGGUUAAGUUAGAAGCCGUAUUAAUAUUGAUUAGUCGUGUACCGCUAAACCAUCUCUAAAGCUAAGACAAAUCAAUUUUGGUAAUUAUUCAUCAAUGAAAUUAAAAUCUGUUUCUUUAAUUACAAGUUUGAUCCUCUAUGUGAAGAUGAAGCUACAGAGUUUGAGCCUAUGAAGAAACCUGGCUGUGGAAGAUGAACUAUCAAAGAGCGGGAAAGCGGACGAAGGCAAUCCCACAUCGACGAUGGAAUAUAAUAUUGGUUGAAGCGGCGUGAAUAAAAGGGCGGGACAACGUCCGUAGAAGGCAUGAUCCUUCAGGCAGAAACGGGAUGUGAUGAGUGGUCAUAAUUCGCAAAUUAAAAUGCGAGAGAUGGGUGUCUGCCCCAAAGCCUGUUACGACAAUUGGGCACUCUCCUGUUUUACCAUCUGAUCCCUAUUCUUUUCUAUUCCUAAAACGCCCCCAAACACCAAAAUUCAGUCGCGAAACUUUUUUAACAAAUUUGUAUUCAUUAUUUCUAAUUUCAGCAUUCAGUUCAAUGUGUUGAAGUUACAUAUUUUCCAAAAAGAGAAACAAUUAUAAAAAAAAGUAACACAAAUAAAAAUUGUUCAUAAAAUUAAAAACGAAAUGAUUUUUAAAAUUACUUUUUAGGUUAUUCCAUUUUAUAAUUGUUCGCAAAUAAUUAUUCCAUUUCUAUAACUAGUGCCUUCAAGCUUUAAUAUGAACAUGUAAAAAGAUUAGGUAAAAUUCUAAAUAAGUUGUUUUAUUUUUUGUUAAACAUAGAUAAAAGCACUUUUGGUUAUCCUCUAAUCCUUAUAGAGGCCACCUCAAACAAACCCAAAGUUGUUUUAGGGCUUGUUUGGACUACUAAAAUGACUGAACACAGUUGGAAAGAAUUCUUUUUGUUUCCAAAACCACUUAAAGUACAUUCUGCAAGAAACACUAAUUAUGUGAUCCGCACAAAGCAAUAAAACGUUUUUCCAAGUUCACUUACUAUUUUACUAAGAAUUAUUUUCAAAAACAAAUUAACCAAAACGCUUUUAAUCAGUUUAACAGCACUUCUAAUCGAGCUCUUAUCAUUUUAGAUCCUAACUGAUCGACCAACACUUCCAACACUUAAAGGAAGUCCAUGAGUACAAACUACUUAUAUAUUAAUUAACACAUAAUCGUAUUUCAGUAUCACAUUAAUUUUUCCGUACAUAAGUCACUCUCAUGAGCUACAUAAAAUAACUCCAUUUCUGUAUAAAUAUAUAGGUGGUACAUAUAUACAAUAACCCUAAUCAUCUGAAGAUUAUAUACAGAGAAAUAUAAAUAUUUAUAAAAAAUUUUGAUUGAAAAUUUGAAACUGAAGACUCUCAAUAUAUUGAAUCUAAGCCGUCGAUGACAUCCAAAGCAUUACUCUUUCGCUUAAGCAAUUUUUUACACCUUGAACCCAGCUCCCUUGAAGGGGAACUCCCUGUGCUCUUGCUCAAACCCCAAACUCCUCUUCUUUUCCUCUCGGCAAUCGAAAACUCCUGACUCUUACUGAUCCCGGGAACCCUUUUCAUUCUCCCGAUCACCUCGUCUAACAGGUUCCGGUCUUCUUCCGAAAGUUGGACUUUUUGGGACUUGGUGUUGUAGGACUUGGUUAGAAACUGCUGCAUGUUGGAGUGAAUAUCCAACCCUUUACGAGUUGGAGACCGCGUAUGCAAAGGCUUCACGCCAUGAUCUCCUUGUCUAACAAGGUUGAUCAGAUGGUGAAGCCAUGCGACUAGUUCGAGGAUGUAGAGAUCCGUCUUCUGCUUGUCUGCGUGAUAUAGCGUCUGGAGGCGGAUCAGGUUAACCUGUGAGGAUCCGUUCUUACCAAACUCAGGACUGUAAAACAGAAAACACGGUCAGAGUUGAACUUAAUCGCUUCAAUUGAGGUUAGAAAAUAUUGAGAGAGUGAGAGAGGGGGGCCUUGACUGACCCAGAAUUUGCCCAUUCUCCAACCCACCCGAAGCCUUGAUGUGCUCUGCCACAAAUUGCAACAUAAGGAAAACAGAGAUUAGUGGAAGCAAGACAGUAACGACAAUGCGUAAUAAAUUUCUUUGCGGAGUUCGAUUCAAAAGAAUGAAAACAAACACGGGCAAAGCAUUGACAGCAACUUUCGAUUAGCAUGCUACAGAACAUACUUGGUCGUAUUUGUGGAAACUGGAACAAGCCAAUGGAGAGUCUUUUCCAUUUCUUCCUUGACCUGAGGAACAGAGCGCUGCAGAAACGCAACAUAAAAAAGGAUAAGCCGAUUGGAAUGCUGAAGCUCCAAGGAGAAAACCAAAAUCUAAUGAGGAAUCUACAAUAUAAAACAAUGGACAAAUGUGUGUUAAAUGCAUUGUGAUACCUCUUCCUUGGCAUCAAGAGUCUGCAAUCGGGAUCGUAAAGCUUGUUUGACUGUAAUUGGUAAACCUUGAUAUAAUGUGUCCCGUGUGUUUGGUGGGAGGGAGGUUGGUCGGGACGCCUAUUAGGAUUAAUCAUUCAUGAGUACAUAUUAUUUUGCAAAUGUAUACCGAGUAUAUGAGACACAAUAUACAGAAACGGAGAAUUAAGCUUACAAUGUUAUCAAUUUGGUUGAUCAUGUUAGCGUAGUGUAGCGCAAGGCCAGCCACCCCUAGUCUUUGAGGAUCUUUGCUCUUGUCUGCACUAACCAAAGUCAGACCUGUAAUAGAAAUCAUAAUGUACAAGAUUAAAAAAGCACAUUAUAGAGCGUGCGGAAACUGAAACUGCCAGCUAUAUCGUAAGUAAGUUUGUAAUCGACUAAGUGAUAACGCAAGCUCAAGUUGUUCAUUAUGUUUGAGUCAUGAUGAAGAAAGCUCUUAUGAACAAUUCCUCGACAUCCACUAAGGCAUAUGUAUACAGUUAUCAAUUUUUGCUCUCGGAGUGAGAGACUGCUCCUACCAUUAUGUCCAAAUGCUUCCAAGAUUGCUUGAUGUGUAUAAGUAACAACAUCAACAAGUUUCUCGACAAUCUGCAAAGAAAAAUACAAUGUGAUAGCAAUAAGGGAAGAUGAAUACUAAUGAAAUCCUAUUGUGCCCCGUCGAAGGCAAAUAAUGAACUAUCGCUGUGCAUUGUUUUGAAUAAUGUUAGCAAAUGGUAGGAAAGAAUUAUGCAAUUUGAAAAGUGUUUCACGAUGGUACCUGAUCCAAAUUUUUAGACCAAAGAGAUUUCUUUUUCAAGCUUCUUACAAGCUUUCUUUGUUGUUUUACAUCACUUAACAACAUCAUCAGAGUCUCUCCUGAAAAUAAAAAGAAAAAAGCAUCCAUAAAUGUCUUUCGAUGUUAUAAACUAGACUAUUCAAAUACUCAAAGGAUGGCACUCGCUGAAACCCCAAAACAGAAAGCAAACCAAAAACAAAAAUCGACGAACCUCUUGGAGGGAGAUGCAAGGUUUUUGCUUCCUCUACCUUGCUCCGGUAAUCUUGUUCAAAUCUGUCCAGUGCAUUUAACUCAUGGUAUAAUUCCUACAAAUGUCGAUAAAAUUAGUCUCUUCAAGUUGACUUCAAUAUAUACAAAUUGUUGGUUAUUAUGAAUCUCCAACUUACAGAAGUAUGCUGAGCAAGAGUGGUCAAUUCCUGCAUCGUCAUGUCUACCUCUGAUCGUAGUUGUUCGUACCCUAAAUCAUCAUCUGAAUCUAGUCUGAAAUUCAAAUUCACAGAAGAUAUUAAAAUAGUGGAAAUUCAUCAAUAUAAUCGCAGCAGCAUAAUUCUCACAAAUCAACCCACCUUGCGAAGUAUCGACCCAGGCUAUGCCAUUGUGGGUCUUUACACAAGUCUCCAAACCUUAUCACUUCACGUGCGAAAACAUCAAGCUCUUCCCUGCAGGCGAGCAUGCAAAAAAAAAAAAAUGGUAAGAUAACGAAAGGCAACGAAUAGCUUCAACUAAAUUCAACCUAUUCUCUACACAACAACCACCUUUUGUCAGAAGCGGCAAUGCGUAGCAACUCCUUCAUAUCUUUAGAAACUAAGUUUUGUACAGCUUCCGAAUGUAGAACAUCUUUCUUUAGAAACUGGACGUUUUCGUCUGAUAGAGAUUGCAACAAGUUUGCACCUUUGGUGAUUGUAUUAGCUACUUCAAACGACAAUAUUGAGAUCCUACUGCCUCUAGACACCCCGCCAGUAAGAAAUCCGCUAUUGACAGUCAAAUUCGACAUGCUACUGCCGAGCGUAUCCAAAACAUCUACUGCCCUCUCCAGGCCAACAAUGCCAGCCUUUCCUAUGAACGAGUUCUUCGGGGUAACCUACCAUAGAAAACACAACACUAAAGCAAUAAUGCCACAAAUAUAAGAGUUUUUUCAAGAGUGCUUCUACUGAAGUGGCUAAAAGUGUUAUCUGACAACCAACAGCUCUUAUCACUACAUUUGACAUCAAAACUUAAAAGCAUACAUGGGUCGUAAGAAGCGGCUUAUGGAGAAGCAUUGAGAAAGUACUUCCAAGUGUUUUUCCGGGAAGUACUUGGGUUCUUAAUAAAAAUCUCGACAUGAUUAUACCAAAAUCACUUCUAGCAGAAGUGCUUCCAACAUUUUCCAAGUUCAAAACAAAAAAUACAUCGACCAGUAUUUCCCUAAACCAUUCCAGUACAAAACUAAAGCAAUCGAUACCUUGCUAGUAGCAGUCCUAGCCGGAGUUGAGGGCUUCAAUUCGCGGGAAACUGAAGACUGCAGCUCGCCGGAAUCAAACCUGUUGGGUGUUUUCCGCGGAGCAAUUCCUUCGGAAAACGAAGGACUAGAAUUCUCCUUGUUCUUGCCGAUGCUCCUCACCGACUUGAGUUUCCCGGAAAAUCCAGCACUUUUCCCUCCGCCGUGAUCGGGAUUUUCCUCACCAGACACCCCGCCCGAGCACACCCCACCCAUCGUUUGCCCCAAUUCAAAAAAUCCACAAGAGCUUUCCAAUUACACCUGCAUAAGCAAACAAAACUCGGUUCACAACCUCUGAUUUCCUUCUUACUUUUUCUCGGCAACCAAACACAUACACAAAUAAAAACAUGAACCAACCAACCAACAUACCUAUUUGCAGAGAUGAUCCUUGAGAACCCAGUAAUUUUCUCAGCAACCAAACACCGUUUAUCAAUCAAGAAAACAAAUGCAGAGAGUUGAAAAGGAAAGAGAGUAGAAAUUCUAGAGUUUAUAUGUUUGACUGCAAAACAAAAUGGUGAGGAUUUUCUACGGGACUAAACGCGUGAUUAGGAAAACCGGAAAUCUCGUGGGAAAAUGGGGAAUAUCUUGACUGGUAUGAAAUUGCGAGAGUUGGAUUUGAAUUUUGGGAAAUCUUUGGAUAUGAAAUGUGGAUUAGCAGUUGAUAUCACGAAAAUUUGAAUUUUAAAAUUUGAUAUUACGAAUGAAUGAAUGCGUGAUUGGGUGGUGGAGGGAAAAAUAAUACGGAAAUGUCAAAGUCCCCGCCUACUUUGUCUGCCUCUUUUUCCUCUUUGUUUUGCCUGACGUGUCAUUGCCAUCUUUUUCGUUUACCAAUUCAGAUCCUGUCCUAAUCUCGCAAUUCAAAGCGACGGAUCGAAAUAUCUGGGCUGUUCAAAAGAGAGAGAGCAAAAGCGAUUAUUUUUUUGUUUAAGUAAGGUGGUUUCAUGUGAUGGGUUAAUGGGAGUCGUGAGAUUUAAAAUAAGUGGUUCGAUUUUUUUUAUCGUCGGUUUUAGACUACGAGAUUUAGAGAGGAUUUUAAUUCAUCAUUUACCUUUUUAACCUUAUGAUUGUAUUUUAUUUUUUUUUAAUCAAUGAAGGGAUAUUAGAAAGAAAGGAAAUUCAUAGUUAGAAAAGGAAUUGGUUUCAUGUUCUCCAAUUCCUUACUUCCCUCAAUCCUGUCAAGUAAAUGUGUCAAAAUCGAAAAAAAUUAGACUUGAAAAUGUCAUAAAAACUCGUGUACAGGUGGAAGAACACAUAACUAGGAAGACAUUUCUCACAAAAACAAUGAUUUCUUGUAUUUUGGUUCUACGUAACUCUAUGUAAUCAGUGGCGGAUCCAUGAUUUGAACUUUGGAGGUUCCAGUGUUAAACGUUCAAGUUUUUGAGAUAGAAACAGGACUCGAAGUGUGCAAAAAAAAAAAUCAGUUUAUUUACUAAGGCAUUUCAUGGAAUACUUGGUGGGCUUGUUAUUGUUAGCCAAACUACGUUGCGCACAUAUCAUCAUAUAUCAACACAUAUCGAAGCAAUCUGAUUAGUGAUAUCGAGAAAAUUUGUUGAGUAUUGUCGACAUAACCCAUCAAGAUAUACUUAGUAGACAUUAAAUCAAACACUUGGUGGCAAAAAAAUGUACACAUACCAAACAUUCAAAAAGUCAUCAGAUAGUCUUCAUAUCUACAUUUCCCAAACUUUGAAUGGUUCCAAAAACCACCUCGAUUCCAAAGUACAUCCUCCCCUGUAUGCAAUCUCAUGUGAAUAAUAAUAAAGUCAAGCAACACUGCCGACUAUCUCACCUUGUGCAAUGAACCACACCAGAUGAGUAUCGAGAUAGUUUAAAAAAAUCACACAUUGAAACUUUUGAAUUAUGUUGUGUGGACGUCUUUACUGUAAAAACGUUGGGUUGUUAAAACAAAUAUAUGAAAUAUGAGAAUUUCUUGAACCAGAACCACUGUGGUGUUCAAGUCAAUCUUUGAUUUGUCAACGAUUUGAUGAUUAACAAGGAUUUAAUUACUCCAAGUGCAUGAAACAUUCGGGCAGAGGAAAAGAUUUUUUUAAGAUGCUUGUGGCAACAUUGGACAACAAGUCGGUUUCCAAGCUUGAAGUUUGAACCACGAUUUCGACAUGUUCCUUUCGGCUUCUUGUUUUUGGCCACGUUGUAUCGAACUAUUACUUACGUUGAGUUUACUUCUCCAUCCAACAGGAUCUUUUCCAGAUCAUCUUUAUGAGGAUCUAUGAAUCGUGUUCGUUAAUCGUACAUUAUGCGAUCCGUUUUCAUCAGAUACUAUUUGUGUUCAAUUUUAAAUAAAAUUAAAAUGAUUUAUUACCACAUAAUGUAUGAUAAACAGACACAAUUUACGAAUCCCCAUAAUCCUCGAUUCCAUGAUGUAUUUUAACUUUAAACAACUGGGUUAUCGACAUUUCUCGCAAUUUGAUUGGUUCUCCAUGUAUAUUUGUCAUUAUGAGGUUGAGCUUCGUUCUAGAAUCUAGAGUCCUCGACCCAUGGGGCAUCCUACUCACCAUGAAUAGAUAGCAACUCGGACAACUUCUGAUCUUUCUAGAGGUUUAUUUGGUACUGCUUUUUUUUAUUAACGCAACAAUAACGUCAUCAAUAUGAGAAUAUCAUUAUUACUAGCUCUUAUGAUUCGAAUGCAUGUCAAGUUACGUUUUGGCAUCUCCCAUUAGAGAUGGUCUAAGCAAAUCUACAAGACUAAAAACAUUUGUCAAACGAUUAAAGCUAACGGUUCUUCCAACCUAAAAAACAUAAAAACAAACAAACCGUAAUGAAGCUUUAGGAACAUCUUUAGAUCCAGACCGUCGAGAUUUGACAAGUAUUAUUAUCAUUCGUCAAACCGCAAACAAGUUAGAUAUUUGGACCCUAUGAGCCCAACCGGGUCAACCACAUCAGGCCAAGCCCAUCAACAGCUUCGUCCACCAGUGUAGUAUCUUCUAGUCAAGUUUGUUACAUUUCAUCUUUUUUUUUUUCUUCUCUCUCUCUCUCUCUCUCUCUCUCUCUCUCUAGUUAGUAUCUUCUGGUCAAGUUUGUUACAUUUCUUUUUUUUUUCCCUCUCUCUCUAGAGUAGUAUCUUCUAGUCAAGUUUGUUCCAUUUCAUCUCUUUUUUUCCCCCUCUCUCUCUCUCUAGUGUAGUACCUUCUAGUCAAGUUUGUUACAUUUCAUCUUUUUUUUUUCCUCUCUCUCUCUCUCUCUCUCUCUCUCUCUCUCUCUAUGGUGUAGUAUCUUCUAGUCAAGUUUUACAUUUCAUCUUCUUUUUUUCCUCUCUCUCUCUCUCUCUCUCUCGAGCUUGUUUGAAAUUAUUUUUACAAUAAUAAGUGAACCCUUUUUAAUUAUGUUUUGUAAAAAAUAUUAAAAAUUGGAAAAUUUUAUUUGGAUCUCGUUAUCUUAUCUUUACACCCAACUAACAAGUUUUAUCCAACUUCCUUCCAAUUUUACUUUUAAAUAAAUAAGAAUGAGAAAAUAAAAGAAAAUAAACAUUGGUGUUUUUAUCUAUACGCCUCAUAACUCCAAAACUAACACAUCAGUGCACUCCUUCAUUAUUUCCGACAAAACUUACCCUAAUAAUAGUAAAUAUUCUCUCGAUUUCAUCAACGAGUCAGCUUGCUACAAACCCUUGUUAGCCCUCAUUUAUAAUUUAAGCGUAGGUUUUUAGCAUAUAUGUUUGUUUGAACCAUGGUCUAAAAUAUCCAUAAUAUCCCGAUAUUUCCAUCGAAAUUUCCGUGUUUUUGGACUACAGAUAUUUUUUUGGACUACCGAUAUUUCCGAUAUCAUUGAUAUUUUAGACCUUGCUAAGUGGUGUAUAAUAUUGUACUAAUUCAUUAUAUAAAUGAUUAUGGUGUGUUUAAACUUCUUUCAUUAAUUACUACAUAUUUUCUACACUCACAAUGUUUGUCAGCUUGCUAUAUAAUCAACUUAAAUCAGUUAUAUCUAUCAUGCAAUGCAUUUCCUUCUAAUUUUUUGUGAUAAACUAAUAGAUAAUUGACUAAAUAAACAUCAUGCAAAAUUUCAAUAAAAAUUUCCAAGUUUUUCUUACAAUUUAUGUGGUUUUUAUUCAAUUUUUAUUGAUAUCGAUAAUAUCCCGAUAUUUCUAUCGAAAUUUCCGUGUUUUUGGACUACUAAUAUUUCUGAUAUCAUUAAUAUUUUAUACCUUGGUUUGAACCAUUAUCUAGGAGUUGGCUACUUGCAUAAAUGAUUAAAACUAACAAGUCAGCUUGCUAGCCAUCUCUUCUAAAUAGACACUGACAUGAAAGCUUUUUCCUUAUAUUGUAGGAAUUUGUUUUAUCCACUAAAAUUAUAAUUAAGGGCCGCUAAGGCUUUUCAUGCAACAAGGGUUCCCAGCAAGCUUACUUGUAUCAGAACUCAGAAGAAUAUUUUGUUGUCAUUUCGAUCACUCUAGAACCAAACAUUAAAAUACUUAACAGAGAGCUUGAAGUACACAUUCACUAAACAUUGUACAUCACAUUUAUGUACUCUUGAAGAUCCCUCCACUGCCGAGUUGUCUUUGAGGGGUCGGGGAUGCUUAACGGGGAUCCUCGUACAUGGUGAAUAACCAAAUUCUAACUGAAAUGAAAUCUUUAGGAUAAAUCAAUGCAUUGUAGGAGGACUCAAUGAAAGGACAUGAAUUCAAAUCCUGAAUUAUCAAAUUGAGAGAGAUAUUGAGAGACAUCGAGAAUGCACAAUUUGUAAGGACAGUGGCUUCUUAAUCGUAAAGUACUUGCACAAAUAGUGAUAUUAAAUGAGAGGUGUCUUACACUUUGAUAGGAGGAAUAGUAGUUUGAUCAGGGCUUUCAAAUCAAAGUCAUAUAGAUACGUGGGAAGAAGGCUUGCUGCGGAGACAUGGAUUGCUACAAAAGAGAUGACAGAUCAUUCUCCACCACUGUACUUCUUCUAACCCUCAUGCCCAGGGGAAAAUAUCCAAAUCCAAAUUACAAAGCAUAUAUAAUAGUCAAUACAUACCUCAUUAUCUAAACAUUAUACAUGGAAUAUAAGAAGAAUUACAAGAAAGUGUUCAACUUACAAACCGUUGUAUCAUAGCACGUAUAAAUUCUAAUGAAGCAUACAAAGUAAAUAAUACAAACCAUUAUUUCAUAGCAUAUAUAGUAUAGGGGGUACGGAAAUUCUCCUCAAUACUUGUUCCGUAGUCUAUUUUGUGGAUCUUGGAAAUUCUCCUCAAUACUCGUUCCGUGGUCUAUUUUGUGGAUCUUGAAUGAACUCAUCGAUAGACAUUAUUUGUAGAGAAUGGUUGGUUGUUUUUUUUUUUUCCUUUAUUUGAGAUAGGAGAGAAAUGGUUGGUUUAGUGAUUUCAAAUUGGAAGCGUUGGCUAAAGGGUUGAUUUUGUUCAAGAAGUGGAGGGAUGGGGAUUUAUCUAAGAAUUUUAGUGAAGAGGAUGCUUUUAGAUUAGUUGGAAUCUCUUUUAAUCAUGCAUGAGAUAAUUAUUAAAAGUUUGAAUCAUGGAGAAUUAUUAAAGGUUUGAGGUAAUGACAACCAGUAAUAAGUUAUAUGACCCAUGCAGAAUAAAUGUUCUAACUCCUCAAUACUAAUGACAAAUUUAAAUUCCUCCUCAAUACUAAUGACAAAUUUAAAUUCCUCAAUACUAAUGACAAAUUUAAGGUAAGGUAAUGACAGCCAGUAAUAAGUUUAGUUGGAAUCUUUCUUCAUCAUGCAUGCCAGAUUUAUUAUUGGAAAUUCUAACUACUUGAUACUUUAUUAUUGGAAAUUCUAACCACUCGAUACUCUUUGAGUUCCCUAGUCUAUUUUAAGGAUCGUGAAUGAACUCUUGGAUAGACAUUAUUUGUAGAGAAUUUGUUUUUUUUUUCUUUCUUUGAAAUGGGGGAGAAAUGGUUGGUUUAAUGAUUUCAAAUUGGAAGCGUUGGCCAAAUGUUUGGUUUUGUGCGAGAAGUGGAUGGAUGGGAGGCUUAGAAGGCUUUAUAUAAGAACGUUAGUGAAGAGGUUGCUUUUAAUUUAGUUCUUCCACAAACCCAACUAAACUAAAUGCAACAUCUUCACUUAACAUUCUUAUAUAAAGCCCUCCAUCCCUGUACUUCUUGCAUAGAGCCAACCCUUUGCCUAAGGCUUCCAAUUUAAAAUUACUAAACCAAACAUUUCUCUCCUAUUUCAAACAAAGAAACAAAAUAAACAAUCAUUCUCUACAAAUAAUCUAUCUAAGAGUUCAUUCAAGAUCCACAAAAUAAACUGGGGAACUCAAAGAGUAUUGAGGAGUUAGAAUUUCCAAUAAUAAAUCUGUCAUACAUGAUGAAGAUAGAUUAACUUAUUACUGGUUGUUAUUACCUUCAAUCUGUCAUUCAAAUAGUAUUGAGGGGUCAAAUGGUAUUGAGAAGUUAGAAAAUUUCUUCUGCAUGGUUCAUAUAGCUUAUUAUUGACUGUCAUUACCUUAAACCUUUAAUAAUUCUCUCAUGCAUGAUGAAGAGAGAUUCCAACUAAACUAAAUGCAAUCUCUUCACUAAAAUUUUUAUAUAAAACACCACAUCCCUGCCCUUCUUGCACAAACCAAGCCAACACUUCCAAUUUGAAAUCACCAAACCAAACAUUUCUCACCCACUAAACCAACCAUUUCUAAUCCAAGAUAAGAUAACUGGUCCAAAUAAAAUUUCUCUUAAAAAUAUUUCCAUAGUUAUAAAAAUGGCUUUCAAAUACUUUCAUGUAAAAAUCAUAUCAAAUCGAUUUUUAACACUUACAGCAACAAAACUCCUAAGAAUAGAAGUACUUUUUACAGAAACAAGAUGAGCAUAAUUAUAUGUAAACUCGACUCUAGGCUCAUUGAUCUUAAACUGGAGAUGAAUCAUCUUCGAUUACAAUUUACAAUCAUAUGUUUCUUGCUGAAGAAGCUACAUUAGGGUUCUUGACCAAGAAAUUAAAAUUUCCCGCAAUUCGUUUAAAAAAAAUAAAAAAUAAGAAGGAUAAAGGCACUCAGAAUGAAAAGGACUAAAAUUAUUAGUCAUCGAUAUAUGAACCUCAUACCACUACUAUAAUUACUCCUCAUCGUGCCUCUUCAAUUUACAAAAAUAAUAAAUAAAUAAAUAAAUAAAAACUCAAAGAUUUCAUAUUUUAAAAGUACAUUAAUCUAAAUAUUAACUUCACAAGCAAAAGCAAUGGCGGGUUAAAGUAAUUAAUUUUAAUUUCUCGAUGAAAUCAAAGAGAAAAUGUAAGAAGAAUUCAUACAAAAAUUAGAAGAAAAAAAAAUUACAGGUUUAGAAACCAUCAGAUGCAAAGGAUCGUUUCAGCUUCGACACCGAGUCUCAGACGACCGUCGUGAGAUGAUUAAUCCAAAUUCAUCACCUGAUUUCCUACUAAUUUUCCACAAAUACUAAUUAAAGAGAAAAAAGAAAAGAAAAGACAGAAUGGGGAAGAAGGGGAGAGAGGCUCUGGAGUUUUCGGUUGGAGAAGCGGAGGCCGCGGCGAGACGAUUUAAAGGACGGAGACUGAGACUUUAUUAGGGUUUUCAUACUUUCGCCUUGCCGGUUUUGCCCUUUUAUUUGGAUCUGGACUCGCAAUUCUGUCCUUACUGGGCUGGGUUAGUAUAGGAUUAUAAUGUGGCAUGAUUCUCGGCCGCACACAAAUGAGUGAUUGAGAUUUAAUUAAAUCUUAUUUGAAUAAAUUUCAACCACUCAUUAGUGUCUUUUAAUGCUUAGGUAGAUGUCAAUGAAGUUUUUUAUUUUAUCUGAACAAACGAUAUUCUUUACAAUAAUAAGAGAUGACAGCCUUAACCUUAUAAUGGGUUAGUAAUAAUAUAUUUUAAAUUCGUCUAUAGUGAGAAUCAAAUAUAAGGCAUUUCACUUACAAGUGAAAAUGAAUACCACUAAAUUGUAAUAUUAAGUGGCACAUUACACAAAAGAAUUGUAGCUCAAUUUAAGAGUAUGUAUUAGGCACUUGAGAUUCUAAGUUCGAUUUUCCCUGAUAAUUUUAUUUUCUAUUCACCCAAAUGACACUUGUAUAUAUAAAGAAGGGGUUUUUAGCUUAAAUAGUAUAUGAGAUUGUCAUAACUCCUCACUUUUAUCUCUGAGAUUUAAAAUUGAUAUAUGUGGUCCCUUAGAUUGCCACUGUCAAUUAUUUUGGUUAUUAUGUGAAAUAUUUUCUCUAAAUGAAGAAACCACCAAUUUAAAAGGAGUUGAUUUGAUAAAAAUACCCUUAAAUUAACGAAGAUUUAUCACAAAAGAACUAAAAUGAUUGACGGUGGGAAAUUUCAGGACCACUUCCAUCAACUUUAAAUUUUAGAGACCAAAGUGAGACUUAUGCUAAUUUUAAAGACCAUUUUUGAAUUAAAAAAACUUAAAAAAAUUAUACCUAACAUUGGACCAAGCUUAGAAAACCAACAGCUAGAUGAAGCCCACUUAGGCCAGCUCUAACCGAAUGAGGGUCAAAUGACUCCCUUUAGCCUUAUAGCCUUGCAAGAAAUUAUAUUUUAAUGAACGAUGCUAGACUAUAUUUUAUACCAUCUUCAACCGAGACGAGCCAAAAGGCUAUAGGCCAAACAUAGUCAUUUGACAAAAAAUCAUCUCCAACCGAGGGGGCCAAAGGGUCAUAGGCCAAACAUAAUUUAUUAUUUUAAUUAAAUUAAUAUAGUUAAUUAAAUUAAACUACCAUAUUAAAAUAAUAUUUUCGGACAUAUUUUGAGUACCAGUUGUCACAAAAUUAAUAAGCCUCCGGAUUUCUUAUCUUUAUAUAAUCUCAAAAACUUUUUGGAUAGGAUUUCGAGCAACAUGUGUUGUUAACGUGAGUAAAUCUUCAGAUUUCUGAUCUUUAUGUAAUCUUAAUAAUUUUUAAGAUAGGAUUUAUAGUGACAUGUGUCGCUAAAGUGAGUAACUUUCCAGAUUUCUUAUCUUUAUGUAAUUUAAAUAAUUUUUCGGAUAGGAUUUCGAGUGCCAUGUGUCUAGAUGUAAUUGGUUGUGCAAAAUUUAGAUAGGAUUUUUAUGUACGUGGCACUUUUUAUCUUCAGCUUUCAAUGGUGUAGGUAUUUAUAGGAACAAAAAAUUAGAUUUGUUUUUUUAACUUUGUCCAAAAAAAAAUAAAAAAUCAAAUUCCAACGGUAAUCUGCCAACAGCAUGAUGUUAACUAGCCAUUGCUAGCUGGCGUCAUGUUGAUGCUAGGUAGUUGUUGGCAUUAAAAUGGGUUGAGCUUGAGGGCUAGCAAAAUGUCAAGCUUGAUAUUAUGGCGCUUGAGGGCUGGUUGGAAAUGGCCAGCCCGCUAGCCUGAUUUGGGGGUUUGGGCCCAAUGAAGCACACAAGUCCUUUGGCCUAGCCCUCGAUUAGAGAUGGUUUUUGUGUUAUUUCAAACAAUUUUUAGCUCUAUGAUCCUUUGGAUAGAUCGGUUGGAGAUGGUCUUACAUGACGAUUUCUUGGGCCAAAGGCACGAGUUAAUAGGAGGCAGAUUCUCUGCCCUCACACUUUAUGUGCCUUCUUGGUUUGUGUGAUCACUGUUAAGCCACGUCAAUAUUUUAUAUUAUCUUUUUAUAGAGAUAAUAAGAUAAAAAUAAAUAGUAAUAUAAAAUAUUGACGUGACUUAAUCGUGAUCACGUAAAGUGGAAGGCAUGGAGGCCACGGAAGUGGGAGGGCAGCCUCCGGGUUAAUAAUGCUGCACUGUACGGCGCCGUUUAGCUCUCCCCUUCUCUAUGAUUCAGUUCAGGUGAUGGAUUUCACUUCCACAAAAUCCAAUUCUCAGUCUCAUCGCUCUGCGACCACCAUGUCGUCGAAGAGUGUUCCGCCGCUCGUCGCCGCCCAGCUCAACUACCUCCUUACUCACUUCCCUCUCGUCGUCAAGGUAAUGCCUCCCAAACCCAACGUCUCCGCUUCAUUUCCAAUUUUGCAAAAACAAAUUGCGGAGAAAAUUUAACUCCAAAAUUUCAUUUCAUUUCAUUCAUCCCCGACGGUAAUAGUUUACUGAGGCAUUUUCUUGGAAUCCAAAACAAUCUAGGGUUCGUGGGUUUUCAUUUGUUGCAUGAUCUGCUGUACACUCUAGGGUUUUGUCAAAGAUUUCUUUAGGACAUUUUACAUGAUCAAUUUUGCUUUGCAGAUUGAGAACAAGUGGUCUGGCAGCAAGUACUACCCGGGAUUUCUCGACCGGUUCACCUUAGUCAUUUCCUACUGUCUAGACGUUAUCAAAUGUGAGUGGAUUGUUGUAAUAGGUAGUUUCAUGUAGUACUGAUUGUUUUCGAUUGCUAAGAAUGUGGGGUUUUGAUUUGUUGUAGGGGAUGUUGUAUUUGAUUCGGAGUCUCCGUUCUCUGCACCCGAUGUUAUAUUCGGACCGGAUGAUGAGAAAUUUCCGCAGUUUCUUGUAUCGCGCGAUGAAGGAGAAGGGGACUCAAAGUUUCACAUGAAGUGUUUGAGUGAUUGGAACAGCAGAGACCCGACACAGCUUAUGCUUCUCAUUCAUGAACUGAGGUGAUGGAUUUUUCGAUUGUACAUUUUCUUUGGAGUUUUGUAUUUCUUUUGGGAAUAAUGUGUAGCUAACUAGUCUCAUAAUUUUCAAUGAAAUACUGUUGUUCUAUUUUAAAGGGAUCAAUACAUGUCCUACCAGAAGAAGCGUGUUGCAGAAGUUGAUGACGACAGGUUGAAGUUUGAAAUUAGCACAAUUGUUGCUCGAGAGGUAAUAUUUCAAACAACCAUGAGAAAUUCAAUAUAUUACUAGACGUCUGUUUGCGUGUGAGGGAUGAACUUGGAGGAACAUUUUCAUGAAUAUCUAAUUUAAUGAAAUAUUUCUUAGCUAUUAAAUCCUUACAGCUAUUAAAUCCUUACACUUUGCUUCAGGGCAUUGAGAUGCAGAUGAGUUCCGGAGUUGACAAGGUAUUUAUGAUUGGGUAAAAAACAUGUUCAACUUUUGUUAUUGGCUCUAUCGAAAGAUCUGUGUUGAAUAGAACUUGGCCGUGUAGCUUCUGAUUAUAAAUGUGGUCCUUAUGCCUCUGAAUUUUAGUGUAGCCAGAGGAGGUCAAAUUUGCAGUUCCUCUAUUGGACAUGAACAUAAAUAAGAUGGUGCCUGUGUACCCCUGGAGACAUCAACAGAAGAUAUACUUGCAGGUUGAGAUUCUCUUUCCCUCUGUCUCCCCCCCCCCCCCCCCCCCCCCCAAGUUUGAAUUAUUUUUCCCCCAUUUUUUAAUUUUCUUCCAGGACAUCAUAUUCAAUGAUGUGUAUUUUGGGCUGUGCAGAUUGUAUAUCCUGUUGAGAAAAAAUAUGUUUCCACUCCAUCAGCUCCUUGCUUGAAACUAGUGUCUACCUCAGAGUUGAAGACUCUAUUUUCCAUUGAUGAAGUCAAACUUCCUCCAUGGUUGAAUGGAAUGUAUGUCUAAGUCCUCUGAAUUAUAAAUUCUUAGUCCUUUAUACUCUACUAUUAUUGGUUCGUUAUGGGUUUUUUUUUCUUUCUUACUCUUGAAAGGUGCAUGGCUGAAUAUCUUCCCCAUCUUGAAGAAUCCCUUGAGAAACAGGUCAGCUGCAUUUCAGUUUAUAUUUUGCACUUUCACGUACAAAAUAUUUCAUAUUUGUAAGAAUAUAUUGUCUUGUUACUAAGGUUUUGGAGGCAGUCUCCUUGGUUGAUGUUAGAAGGCGCUUUAUCGAGGCAUUAGCCCUUCAGUUUGGAAGACCAGUGGAAGCUGAUUCGGUAGGCAUCCUAGGCAUGUAUUUCUCGGUGCGAAGUUCUUGAAACAUUAAGACUAAUUGUUCAUAUCUAAUUGGGCAGGUCUUAUGCAGAAAGGCAACGUUCCUUGCCGCUUCUGGAGUUUUCACGUUCCUGGUAUAUAUGGUCAUCACUGUAUCAUCUUUGUAUGGAAUAUUCCUUUAAGCUAAAGCAUGUGCUGGGUCAUUGAUUAAGAAUUAAGAACUCAUUUGAUCUAUAAUAUUUUGUUUCUAUCUUUCUUAUAAGCUUUUUGACUAAUCUAGCUGUAAUUCACGUGGAUUCCGUGUCGUUUAUUGCUGUCAAUAGCAAGAGUUUUACGCUCUAUUUUGUUAUUGCGCAAUAUCUGGUGGUACUUUUGUUCUAUUUUCAGUUGUUUUAUGUCUACAUUUGGGUACUGCACUCUAGUUAAUCUUCCCCUUUCCAGCGACCAAGCUUCUGAUCGUUUUGUUUUGUAUAGGUUCAUGUUUCGAUUUCAACUCAGUUUCCAAAGCAAAGGCCUUCUUUGACGCUUCAAAGUUCACAGGCAAGGAUAAUUAUCCGAAUCUAUGCAUUAAUGAUUACAGCAAAACUAAACCUACAGCAAAACUAAACCAUAUAUAUGGCUAGUUCAUCACAAAUAUCUGCUGCACACGUGCAGUUUGUUUCGAUUAUUGUCUUCAUAUACAUGUUUUCUAGUUGAAAUGAAACUCUUGAUUGACGGGGUUAUAUUCUCGUAAUGAUGUAGCAUUUCAACCACCAAGGUGUGCCGAUCAAGUCACUUCCUCUAACGGAAUUUCCUUGGAGCCCUAGAUGGGAAUUACCUCAUAUGGCCGAGCGAAUUUGGUGAGUUCCUUUGUAAAUUCUUAUCACACUCAUUCACCACUUUUGCAUCUGAACAAUAUCACUGACGGGGAUCACUUUUCAGCGACUAUUUGACAGACGAGGCUGUGGACUUCAAGAAGCACUGCAACGAGCCUCCACCGCAGCACUAGGGUGUCAUAGAUCGCCGCGGUUAAUGUUCGGUAUCAUCGUCUCCGUUACCAAUCGAAUCAUGUAAAUUUUUGUAAUCGCUUUGAACUCUUUUGGUUCUUGGGCAUGAGCUUGGAUGGGAAAAUAGUCACUUGUGUUAGUAACUGAGAAAUGGAGCGAUGAUUACUCUAAUCUGGUAAUCUUUGCCGUCUCAGAUCAAGAUCUAGUAAGAGUCCAAAUGCUUCAAAAUACUAAAAUAUUUUGUCAGGAUCUGAGACGGGUAUAUUGGAAAUGAGGUAUUCGCCGAUUUACCAGUUUUUUCCUGAGCUUUAAUUUUAGCUGAUUACUUGCCUGAACUUUUAUAAUUGCCUACUUUUUCCAGUGUUAGAUUUUAGAAAAUUUCAUGCAUCUUAGUUACGUGCACGGCACAUGGAAAUUGACUAAAGAUCUGAAUCGGGGAUGUAAUUGAAAUUGUUGGAUUUGGAUCCCAGCACAUGGAUUUUCAGACUCCACAAUUAUUUUAAUCAAUGUAAAAAAAUUAUUAUCAUUUGUCGGAUUGUCAAUGUAUAUCUUGCGAAAAGAUUACAUAUGGAUAGAAAAGGAUCCUCGCUGAAUCAUUUUUCUAGAGAUCCUAGGAAUUUUGCAAUCGUAACCGUUCAUUGUACAUCAUGAGAUCAGUUUUUGUUAGGUACUAUUUAUAUUUAAUUUUAAAUUUUAAAUUUUGAAAUGAUUUCUGACCACACGAUGUAUGAUGAACGAUCACGAUCGCGAAAAAGAAUCCGGCGAGAAUCCUUUUUCCAUAUGGAUUAUGGAGGACAAUGAUUGAGCCGUCUGAGCAGUUUCUCUGAUCACACAACAAAAUAGAGAAAUUGGUAGCACUGAAGCGCAUGGGUGCAAUGGUGCAUUAGUGUACCCUCGCUAGUAUACGAUAAUUAUUAAAUUCUCAAAAGAAAUACAAAAAGACAAAAAGAUACUAAAAUUUCGAGUGUUUUUUUUUUUUUCAAUGCGCUAUACACUACUCAACUAGACAUUUAAAUUUAGAGGUGUAGUCAAAUGAGGAUUUUAAAGGAUUUUAAAAGACUUUAGAAUCAUGGUGUAGUCAACUAGGAUUUUUAAAGAUUUUUAAAGAAUUCAUUCAAAUACAUGGGUAAUCAAUUAAAGGAUUUUAAAAGACUUUAGAAUCUUGACGUAGUCAACUGAGAUUUUAAAGGAUUUUUAUAGAGUCCAUGCAAAUCUAUAGGUAUUCAAAAAUUCAUAGAUUUUGAAGAAUUUCUUUUAAUAAGAUAUUUUGUAAGAUUCGAGAAGGGAUUAUAAACAUAACAAAAUCCUACCUCCACCCCUAGGAUUUCUUUUCAACCCCCUCGCUCUUUCUCUCUCUCUCCAUUAUGCAACUUGAACUUUCUUUCUCACUCUCCAUUUUCUUUCAAACAUAGAACCUACCAACGUGAUUUCUUUUCACGUUCAUCUGUCACCGUCCCAGUUGCAAACUUGAAUUUUUUGAAUUUUACAAUAUUUUUUGAAUUUUUUAUUUCCUUUAUUUUGGAAUGUGUAAUAGUAUUUCUUGUAAUGCUUUCUUGAGAAGUGUUAAUAGCUACUAGUAGUUCUUGUAAUGAUUAUGCGUUCUAUCUGAAUAUGUUAAUUUUUUACCAUGUUAAUUGAACUCUUGGAAAUUACUACUAAGAAUCUUAUUGCCAAUUCAAGCUUUAUGUUCUUUUUCGUGUAAUCAUGUUAGUGUAAGGGUGCAAGCAUCUUCCAAAGCCUAUUUAUAUUGGUAACUGUACUUAGACUGAAUAACACAUUAUGAACUAAUCAAUUGUUGUCGAAAAAGGGUUAAUUUUGAGAUAUUAGAUUUAAGAAGCACUACUUGUUUUGAUUAGUUAAAAUUAUUUUUCGUAAAGAAAUCACAAUUCAAGUGAGAAAGGGAAAGAAAAGACAUAUUUGAUUGGUUUAUAUUUCCAUAUCAAUAUACAUAUGCUUAUAUCUUUUUUAGAUUGUGCACUGAGAAAAAAAUUUAUGUUGCAUGAGUCAAAAAAGAAAUCCUUAGAAAGUCCAUUAAAAUCAUCUGAAAUCCAAAUUGACUACAUUCCCUUAAAUGUUUUAAAUAAAACCAUCUUAUACGACGGAUCAUACUGUUUAACAACGUAAUCCAUGUACAUCAAUAAAGGGCCUCGAGUUUUUAGUGGCCCAGUCCGAAAAAUUAAAAUGAGGUCCUUUCCAGCACAUUAGCAUUAAAUAUUUACAUAUUUUUAAAAAUAUAUAUGUACACUAACAUAUGUUAAAAUACAUUGGGCCGUCCUGCAUGGUCGACCUUUUCGCCCUUGUUCGGAAACAACAAAACAAUUUUCUGGUCCGGCCAAACACAGUCCAAUGACAGUAAAAAGCAAACGGAAAAAGGAAAUCAACGGAUUAAAUCUCGCUUUUCUCAAUGAUACGGUCGAUUUCAACAGACUAAAGCUCGUUAUCAACGGUUAAAUUCUAACACCGUUUCCCGCGGGAAAACUUUUUGGCGGGCGGGUGGGAUCACCGAAUUAACGUGCGCACGCACCCCAUGCCAGCCAGAGCGACGGAGUGAAGGAAGAGAGAGAAAGUAGUUGGUUUGUUCUUACUCUCUCUCUCUCUCUCUCUCUGUCUGGCUGUCACACACACAGCAACCAACGGAUUAAUUGAUUUAAAAAAUAUCCCACCGCCCAUUAUUUACCUUCCUAACCUCCGAUUCUCUCUCUCUCCUCCCCCUUCUCUCUCCUCCCUUUCCCCUUCAUAACACCGACUUCGGAUACACUCUCUUCCUCUGUCUUCGUAUCUCUCCCUCCUCUCGCCGUUCCUCCCAAAAGCCCUUGUAAUCGCAGCAGCAGACCUCGCUUCAUUUCCGGCACCUCCGUCGCGACAAUGAGAGAGAUCCUGCACAUCCAGGGAGGCCAAUGCGGCAACCAGAUCGGCUCCAAGUUCUGGGAGGUCAUCUGCGACGAGCACGGCGUUGACCCCACGGGAAGGUACCGAGGAGACUCCGGCUCCGAUCUCCAGCUCGAGAGGAUCAACGUCUACUACAAUGAGGCCUCCGGCGGGAGGUACGUCCCCCGCGCGGUCCUCAUGGAUCUUGAGCCCGGUACCAUGGACAGCAUCCGAUCCGGCCCCUUCGGCCAGAUCUUCCGCCCUGACAACUUCGUCUUCGGCCAGUCCGGCGCCGGCAACAAUUGGGCGAAGGGACAUUAUACCGAAGGUGCCGAGUUGAUCGAUUCCGUUCUCGAUGUUGUUCGCAAGGAGGCAGAGAAUUGUGAUUGCCUUCAAGGUAAAAUUUCUUUGAAUUUCGACAUGAAUUAUGAAAUGAAAAUGCUCCUCGAUCGGAUUUGAAUUUCUGCUACAUUGAAUGUAUUGAUGCUUGAAUGAUUAUUCAGUUGAUUACUGUUUCUGUUGCUCUAUGAGUUCGUCGUUAAAGAUUUGAUAAUCCGAUUUCGAAAUGCUUCCGAAUCGGAAUUGAUUUUCUGCGAGAUUAUAAACAUUCAUGCUUGAAGAUUCAGUUGAUUACCGUUUUCAUUAGCGUUGUUAAUUACAUAUUUAACAAUAACUUCAUUGCAAAGUACGGUCGUCAGAUCCUUCAUCCAAAACUCUGAUCUUGUCCUUUACUUUUUGUUUGGUUGUGGAUCUGAUAUAUUCAUCGUCAGCUUUCCUAGCACCGCCAUGUGGUUAACUGUACUACUACUUGCAUAUAUAUUAUAUAUGCAUAUAAUUUAUCUUUAUAUGGCUGAUUUUGCUUGUGGUCCCCCUUGUUUUUUGUUCUUUAGUGGAGACAGAUGAGGAAUCUGUUUACUUUUUUUUGCAUGAUUGUGAUUUCCCAACAGUCAAUAUGUUACCACACCGACGUUGUGCUUGGUUCUUUUGGAUUGAGAUUCACUGCGGAUCUCUGUAUUCUAAGUCCGCGGACGGAGAGAUUUGAGUCACUUAAUUUUAAUCAUAGGGUUCUUAUUAACCCAUCCCACUAGCCCGAUUCACAAAAACUAAAAAAAAUUGAGCUCUCUUGAACAGUCCAUAUCUCUCGGUCCUUGGAUUGCAGACACAAAGGUCCAGAGUAGAUCUCAUUCCGGUUGUUUUAGCAAAUUAACUAUUGCAAUAAAUCUGAGAUGGCUGUAAGAAAAAUUUCAACCCUUUUCUGUAACAUGCUUAAUUGUUUGAGGAUUAGUGAUUUGUAUUUACAUGGGAACAUUUAGCUUAUAUUCGUUUGGGUUAUAGGGACUUAUAUCAUUGAUUUGUUAUUGUGAGGAUCUGUGGUUGUAUGUUGGAUCCUUGUUCGUAUAAAUCUUUAAACCUCACUUGCCCAUUUCCAGUUUUGUUUAAUAUGCUGAUUGACAUGGUCUUUUUUUUAUACGGGGCAGGUUUUCAGGUGUGCCACUCUCUUGGAGGAGGAACUGGUUCUGGAAUGGGAACCCUUCUCAUAUCAAAGAUCAGAGAGGAAUACCCUGAUAGGAUGAUGCUCACAUUCUCCGUUUUCCCUUCACCGAAGGUCUCAGAUACCGUUGUGGAACCAUACAAUGCCACUCUUUCGGUGCACCAGCUGGUUGAGAACGCCGAUGAAUGCAUGGUUCUUGACAACGAGGCACUUUAUGACAUUUGCUUCAGGACCCUAAAGCUCAGCACCCCAAGCUGUGAGUGACAACCUAAUUCUUUUGAAUAAUGUUGCAAGUAACACAAGUAGUCUUAUAGCACCCGGUUCUAGUUUUACUUAAUUGUAUAUCUGUUUGCAGUUGGUGACCUGAACCAUUUGAUAUCCGCAACCAUGAGCGGUGUGACAUGCUGCCUAAGGUUCCCUGGACAGUUGAAUUCAGACCUCCGGAAGCUGGCCGUGAAUCUCAUUCCAUUUCCACGUCUUCACUUCUUCAUGGUUGGGUUUGCCCCUCUCACCUCUCGUGGAUCCCAGCAGUACAUCUCCCUUACCGUGCCGGAGCUGACUCAGCAAAUGUGGGAUGCCAAGAACAUGAUGUGCGCUGCUGACCCUCGCCAUGGACGUUACCUGACAGCCUCAGCUAUGUUCAGGGGGAAGAUGAGCACCAAAGAGGUGGACGAACAGAUGAUCAAUGUGCAGAACAAGAACUCGUCCUACUUCGUUGAGUGGAUCCCUCACAAUGUGAAGUCAAGCGUGUGCGAUAUUCCUCCCAAGGGUUUGAAAAUGGCAUCUACCUUUGUUGGUAACUCUACAUCAAUCCAGGAGAUGUUCAGGAGAGUGAGCGAGCAGUUCACAGCCAUGUUCCGGCGCAAGGCCUUUUUGCAUUGGUACACCGGUGAAGGCAUGGACGAGAUGGAGUUCACCGAAGCAGAGAGCAACAUGAAUGAUUUGGUUGCCGAGUACCAGCAAUACCAAGAUGCAACCGUGGAGGAUGAGGGCGAGUACGAGGAGGAAGGUGCAGAAGAGAAUUACGAGGACUAGAACAUGCCGGCAAUCACAAAUCAGGACCGGAAGAAAGGUUUGACAUGGAAGGGGGCGUCCCUUAUUGCUUGCUUGUGUACUUACAUGGUAAAAUCUGCGUUUUUGCUUUUAUCAUUUUUUUUGUAUUUGCUUGUGGAUUAUUGUCUCGGCUAAUCACGCAAGAUUAUCACCUUGCUGGAUUAAGUUACAAUUAGUAAAUCAUCUUGUAAGACGAUGUUGUGUGAUUGUUCUUUUCCAAGUAUGGAAUAAAAUGUCAUUUUUGCCAAUCCUUGAUUAUUUUUUCCAAAUUGUGUUAUUUUUAAAACUCGAUUUUGAUUUUAUUUUGUUCGGAAAACUAUAAAAUUGCCACACCGUCAAGUUCAAUAUUUGCUCCACUUUGACGGGAUGCAAAAUUGAUUGAUAGAAAUGGGUAUAAUUAUUUUCUUAACAUUGAUUGGUGAUUUGUAUGAAAGCUCAAACAACUAAAUUUGGGUUGAAAAACUUCCCAGCAGUUGGGGAAAAAAAUGUGGAUUGCGAAACAAGUAUCGAUCUAAAAUCCAAAUCUCUCCCUAUUACUUGUAGCCACUACUUCUAACCUUGCAUAGUAGUGCCAAAGAUGAAGGGAGUGGAUCAAACAUGGUCAUAUCAAGUGGACUUGUUUUCAGAUUCCACCCGAUCGCCAAACAAAAAAUCGUCCUAUUUGGCGAUCAGGGAAAAUCAAAGAAAACGUAGACCGAAGAAAAAAAAUUUCCAAUUAUGUAGAAUACAUUAAAUCCUUAUUAAAAUUUAAAGAAAAAUAAAUUAAAAAACCAAACAAAAAAGGAAAAAAGAGGAAAGGAAGGAAGGAAAACAUAGAAGAUGAUAGAUGCAUCAGAGUAAAAUUGCAAGCUUCUCAUCCCAAUUAAUAUUUCUCCUCACUUGCAUCAAUAUUUAUAGAACUUAGCUUGGCUGUUAAAAAAUCAACAGCAGCUCCUGCUCCUCACCAAUAACAGAUAGACACAUGUCCAAGUAAUUAAUUUUUUAAUCACAGAUUGGAUACAUGUCCAUCUGCAAUGAAUGAAGAGCAGGAACUGCUACUGACUUUUUCAGCAGCCAAGUUCUGUCCAUAUUUAUAUGUAAGGAGAGAGAGUGUGAAAGAGACGGGAAUUAAAAUAGUAUUUGAUUCGGCAUAUUUCUCAGCGCAAGGAAAAGGCAGGUGAAGCCUUCUUAUCUCAAAAGGGUAACUCUUAUUUUUUAGUACAUUUAUAUUUUUACAUUGAGAGAAGGAAGAGUUUGGUUAAGCUAGUCUAAUUUGGUAUCGAAUUUGUCAUCCACAAUAUUCAAACCUAAUAUCUCUCACUUUUAAAUGAAGAAGAAUAUCACCGAAUAGUAGUACUCAGCAGCAUGAUAUCUAUUACUUAUAUAAGAACGCAACUAGGGUUUCAUUUCCUCCUCCGUCAUCUACGGCCGAGAUUCUCUAGCCAACUUAGAAUUCCCAUUGGGUCUAUAUUCUAGUUGGGCCUUUGUUUUUUUAUGUAGAAACAGUAGAAUGUAUGUAUAGGGAAAUUUUGUUAAAAUUUAGAAUCAUCUUGAUUACCUUUAACACUAUAAUCUAUAAAUAAAUUUUGUAACUCAAAUAGUUAAAAGUAUUAAUACAUUAAUGCCUUGAUAUCUACGCGCACAACAGAGAAAGGGCUCAAAGUAACGUGUUCGUUGUUUCUCGUUGUGCUAAACGAACUUUCCUUUCUCAAAACAUUUAGCCACGUGUACAUAUUUCGUUACACACGGAAAUAGUUAUUGAACGAAAUCCAAAUUAACAAUAUAUCAAUCAAACAUCGACACAAUUGUAAUUCCUAGACCAAAAUAAUUGGUCUAUGACAAUGUUAAUAUAUGGAAUUAUAGGUACAAUAUAUCUACGUACUAAGUCUCACCAUAAUAAUUGCUAAAACCUCAUCAAACCUUUGGUUUGGCUAAAAUAUUACACCCCAAAUAAAGUAAUUAAAUUAUUAGGGGCAAAAAAUUAAAAAAAUUAAAAAAAACAUUAGCCAAUGCCAUGUCAUCUGGAGUGGAAGCGAGAUUUCUUGACCCUACAGAUUUCGAGCCUCUUCUGCCUUGCCUCAGCAGCCCUUUUCCUAAUCAUAUCCUUGUUAACCAAGCCAAGAUCAAACGGCUGGGAGGAGUUCAACACGAUUGAAUCCUUAAAACAGAGGUUAACGUGAUCCCCUCGCGGGCCCACAUUGAACUCUCUUCUUUGAUUUUUGGCCGUUUGAUCCAUGAUCAGCUGCUGCAGUUGAUGUUGAUAAAAAAUCACACUAGGAGGAGAGGGAAUUUGCAUUUGCAUUGGAAUUGGAUGUUGGUAAGGCUCUUGAUUUGGGGCCGCUUGAGGCGGAGUCACAAACGUGAGUUGGGUCGGUUGGCUUAAUUGCACAGUUGGUUCCGGGCUUGGGUCCGUAUCCAAACGCUGCUCCUCUUCCAGUUUAUGGCCAAGUCUCAUUAGCUGUUUAAAAAAUAAAAAAACAAAAAAAGGGUAAGCCAAUUAAAACACGAGAAAAAUAUUUUUUAAGCGAAACAAAAUUAUACCUCCUCUUUCCUUGCUUUCAACUCCAAAUUAAGACCAUCCAUCUUGUCAAAGAAACGCUUCACAUUCUCAAGCUCCUGCUCAAAUUAUCAAAAAUCGAAAUCAAAUAAAUAAAUUGAAAAAGGAAAAAGGAUAAUUUGGCUGAAUUUUAGAAAAAGACAGAGAAAUUGCUGCAAAAGACCAAAAAAUAAUUUAAAGUAAAAUACUCACUUGAUUUCGCAAUUUUUUCUUCGAAGUCAAUUCGUCCACAAUUGUAAUCCAUUCCUCUGUCUUCUGCAGAAUCAGUAAGAACCAAAAUAUAUCAGAAAACAGUGAAAAAUAGUAAAUAAAUCAAAAAUAUUUAAUCCGUAAAUUGGAAAAAGAAAGAAAGAGAUCGAACCCAGUUGCCAGAAUUGCCAGAAAAUCAAAACCCAUAUCACAGAAAAUUAAAUUACAAAAUUUCUUAUGGAAAAACAAGAAUUUAUUUUAUUUUUGGAGUUUGAACAGAGAAAAAAAGUCGUACCCUUUUUUGACCAAGGAGUUUACUUCUCAAGUGGUCAGGCUGCUUCUCAUCAGAUUCACUGGGCUCGAAGCGCAGCGGCGUAUCGGGGCUGGAAGUCUCCUCCUU
rnacentral:lncRNA from 1 species